CAAUCUUAUCUUGUGGAGGCCAGAUGGACUCUUCAAAACUACAAACCAUCAUUCGAGGAGUUUAAGGCUAAUGCAUUGCCAACUUGUGGUUAUGCCAUGCUUGCUAUUACAUCUUUCGUCGGCAUGGGAGAUAUUGUAACACCAGAAACCUUUAAAUGGGCAGCCAAUGACCCUAAGAUCAUUCAAGCUUCCACAAUUAUUUGUAGGUUUAUGGAUGAUGUUGCUGAACACAAGGUAUAAUAAUAUAUUUAAAUAAUCACAAGAAACCAAACUAUUAACUCAAUAACGAUGGUUUUUGUCACGAUUUGAAACAAUUAAAGUUUAAUGUUUAUAUAUCAAAUGUUUAGCCUUAAAUCGAAGAAUAAGAAAAGAUAUCUAGUUUCAUUUUAAAAAUAUAUAUAGUUUAACAAACGAAUAGAAUUUAGGUUAUAUAGUGAUUGAAUAAUUUUUAUUUUAUUAUGGUUGCAGUUCAAACAUAGGAGAGAAGACGAUUGCUCAGCAAUUGAGUGUUACAUGGAAGAAUAUGGUGUAACAGCACAAGAGGCAUAUGAUGUAUUCAACAAGCAUGUUGAGAGUGCUUGGAAGGAUGUGAAUCAAGAGUUUCUGAAACCAACAGAAAUGCCAACAGAAGUUUUGAAUCGUAGCUUAAACCUUGCAAGGGUGAUGGAUGUACUCUACAGAGAAGGUGAUGGCUACACAUAUGUUGGAAAAGCGGCUAAGGGUGGAAUCACUUCAUUACUCAUUGAACCAAUUGCACUUUGAAAUCGUAUUAAAUUUUCCUCUUCUGUUCCUUAAGGAAUAGUUAUUAAGUUAUAAUUAAUAAUGUUUUAUAAUAUAUAUAUUAUAAAAGAAAUUCUAAAUCAACUGUCUUUGUAUUCAUUUCCCUGUAUUGAUCUAAUAAAGUUCUUUUCAAGCUUUCAUUUGUGAAAAAUCUGCUAUUUUAUAUUUUAUAUUUUAAUUUUCCUUCUUUCGUUGCUAUAGCUUUGAACACAAAAUUUAGAGUAUGAUCCUAUCAUGCUCUUCCUUUUUACCAACAUUGUUGUCACUUUCAAUGAUUUUUCUCUUCUUCGCCAUAACAUUAUCAUCAAGAUUGCAUGUGAUAAAGUUUUGCCAUUCAGAUAGCCUUUUCAAGGCUCGCCACUAGAAGCUCACUUAAAUAGGGAUACUUGUUAAUAAAAUAUGUUUGUUGUCCUUGUUUUUAGGCAUAUAUUUGCUGCACAUCAAGGAUUUAGUGGCUACAGAUCAUGGGUUUAUUUGGUUUAGAUUUUUUUUCCUUAGUUGUUAAGAGUCCUAUUCUGAGUCGUUUGUUGUUAGUGUGCGAUUUCUUGAUUUUUCUAUCAUGUAAUUGCCUAUAUAAUAGGUUCUUGAGGUUGUGAAUAAAUGAGUUGAUCAUCUUAUUUUCCCUUUCCUUUAUUUUUUUCAUCUUGCUGUUAUCUCCUUAGUAAGCUAAUAGUUGUGUCAGAGCCUGGUAAAAGAAGAGUAUUUUCGGUGAGAGAAAAAUGUUUAUGGUCCUCUUAUGGCUUUUGAAAAUUGUUUGCAACUACCUAUUCCACAUUUUGACGGUCACUAUGACCAUUGGAGAUGUUGAUGGAGAACUUAUUAUAGUCCAAGGAGUAUUGGCAAGUCAUUAAGCACGGUAUAGCAACACCAACAGAUGGAGAAAAGCUUACAGAAUACAACAAAAAAGACUUGAAGGGGCUGAAGUUCAAAGAUUUGAAAGCAAAGAAUUACUUAUUUCAAGCUGUUUCGAUCCUAGAAACCAUUCUUUGCAAAGAAACUUUCAAGGAUAUUUGGUACUCCAUUAAGACAAAAUGUCAAGGCUCUUCCAAAGUGAAGCGUGCAUAGCUUCAAGCUCUUUGGAAGGACCUUGAGGUUCUUCGGAUGGAGGAUGGUGAGUCCAUUAUAGACUAUUGUGCAUGAACCAUGGGAAUCAUGAGUAAUAUGUGAUUUCAUGGUGAGAAGAUGAAUGACACAACCAUUGUUAAGAAGAUACUACGGUCCUCAUCACCAAAGUAUGAUUAUGUUGUCUACUCAAUUGAAGAAUCCAAUGACAUUGAUGCACUCACCAUUGAUGAACUCCAGAGUUCCUUGUUGGUCCAUAAAUAGAAGAUGAAUAGAACUUCUACCCCCAAUGGAGCAGGCUUUGAAAGCUUCAACUCAUUCUUUCAAAAGAAGAAAUGGAGGUCAAGGAAAGGGAAGAGACAGAUGAGACAGUUGGAAUAAAAAUAGUGGCAGGUAUGCCAGAUCAGAUGAUAAAGGCAAACAACAAGAUCGACAAUUUGACAAGUCAAAGGUAGAAUGUUUUGGAUGUUAUAAGUUUGGUCAUUAUUGUUUUGAAUGUCGUACUAAUCUAUCAAUGAUAAGGAAAAGGGAGAAAAGUCAAAAUUUUCAUAAAAAGAAGCUAAAACCUUGUUAAUGGCAAUUCAUGACAAGCAAGAGAAGCCACAAAACUCAUGUUUAUGGUAUGUGGAUACAGGCUGUAGCAACCACAUGUGCGGUAAUAAGUUUUCUUUCUCUUAUCUAAAUGAAGACUUUCACAUUAAUGUGCCUUUUGGAGAUAAAUCUAUUGUUGAUGUAGUGGGAAAGGGUGGUAUUAGUAUAAGAACCAAUAAUAGUUUUGUAGAAACAAUGUCCCAUGUUUUCUUUGUGUCUGCUUUGAAAACUUAUUAAGUGCUGGUCAAUUGCAAGGAAAAAGAUAUGUGAUUACGGUAUCAAAAAGUGAUUGUGAAAUUUAUGAUCCUUCUAGAGGUGCUAUUGCAGUGGUUCCAAUGAGUUCCAACAGGUUGUUUCCAUUAGUGAUUGAUUGUUUUCAACCUUGCUUGAUGGCUAAAGUGAAGGACAACACAUGGCUUUGGCAUUUUUGAUGUGGUCAUCUUAAUUUUGAGGGUUUGAAGACUCUUUGGUAGAAAGAGAUGGUCAACGACCUCCCUCAGAUUGUCAUUCAAACCAUGUGUGUGAAGAUUGUGUUGUUAGCAGACAACAUCAUGAACAAUUUCCCAAAAUAAAGUUUUAGAUAGCAAAACAUGUGCAGGAAUUGGUCCAUUUAGAUAUCUGUGGACCAAUAAAACCAUAAUCUAAUGGAGGUAAAAUUUAUUUCUUUACUUUCAUCGAUGAUUAUUUCCAAAAAUUGUGGGUUUACUUUUUGCAGGAGAAAUCGGAAGCAUUUAGUGCAUUUACUAGCUUCAAGGCACUUGUUGAGAAUGAAAUCGGGAAAACCAUUCAAGUUCUUCGCAUUGAUUGUGGUGGAGAAUAUUGUUUCAAGGAAUUUGAAGCAUUUUGUGAGAGCCAUGACAUCUGGAAAAAGCUUACCACUGCAUAUACCUCCCAAAAAAAUAGCGUAUAAGAGAGGAAAAACAGAACCAUACUUAAUAUGGUGAAAAGCAUGCUUGCUAGUGGAAGGGUCUUAAAAUAAUUUUGGGCAAAAGGAGUAAAUUGGAGCAUCCAUGUCUUGAAUAGAAGCCCAACUUUUGCUGUUCAAAACAUGACACCUGAAGAAGCUUGGAGUGGAAGGAGACCAGCUGCAGAUCACUUCAAAAUUUUUGGUUGCAUUGCUUAUGCACAUGUUCCAAAUGUAAAGAGAAAGAAGCUUAAUGUCAAAGGAGAGAAGCGUGUCUUUCUAGGUGUAAGUGAAACAUCUGAAGUGUAUAAAUUGUUUAAUCCUUUAAAGGAGAAAAUUGUGAUUAGCAGGGAUGUAAUUUUUGAUGAGGAGAAUACUUGGAAUUGGGAUGACAAACAACCUUUUCAAACCUUUGUUGGUACUGAAGUUGAAGAUGAAAAGCAGUAGCCUUUAGAUUAGUAGACUCAAGCAACACUUAAGCUUAAGAGUUCACCAAAUAAUACUCUAAUAAGUAGUUGAACCUCAUCCUAGCUAUAUUUGACGGAGACCAGCUUGGAUAGGAGAUUUUUAGGUAAUCAGCGUUGGGCAGACUGAAGAUCCAACCAUCUAUUUUGCUUUAUUUGCGGAUUGUGAUCUAACAACCUUUGAAAGUGCUGUAAAUGAGUCAAAAUGGAGAAAAACAAUGGAUGAAAAAAUUGCAGUAUAGAGAGGAAUGAUACAUACAAGUUCACUAAACUUCCAAAAAGGCACAAGACAAUUAGUGUCAAAUAGGUGUACAAGACAAAGUUGAAGGAGAAUGGAGAAGUUAAUAAGUAUAAGGCACAUUUGUGGCUAAAGGUUAUAAAUAGGAGUUUGGGGUAGAUUACAAAGAAGCCUUUGCUCCUGUUCCAAGGCAUGAUACAAUCAGAUUGGUGAUUUCACUUAUAGUCUAAUACUCUUGGCCUAUCUUCCAACUAGAUAUGAAUUCGACAUUUUUACAUGGUGAGCUCAAAGAACAGGUUUUUAUUGAACAACAUACUGGUUAUGUUAAACAUGAAAGUGAAAAUAAAGUUUAUAAACUAAAAAAAGGCUUUAUAUGGGUUGAAACAAGCCCCACAUGCUUGGUAUAGUCGAAUUGAAGCUUAUUUCUUGAAAGCUGGUUUUCCCAAGUGUCCUUAUGAGUCUACUCUUUUCAUUAAAACUGGUGAUAAAAGGAAAAUACUUAUUGUGAGUUUAUAUGUUGAUGGUUUUAUUUUCAUUGGAAAUUGUAGUUCCAUGUUUAAUGGAUUCAAGAAGUCUGAUGGUUGAGUUUAAAAUGUCAGAUCUUAGUAUGAUGCAUUAUUUUCUAGGCAUAGAAGUAGUGCAAUCAACUAAUGGAAUAUUUUUUUCUCAAAGGAAAUACAUUCAAGAUAUUCUGAGCAAGUUUGACAUGAAGGAUUGCAAUCUAGCAAGCACCACCAUUGAGUUUGGCUUGAAGUUGAGCAAAGAAGGAAAGUAAGUGGACAACACUUUUUAUAAGCAGAUUGUAGGCAAUUUAAUGUACUUGAUUGGUACAAGACCUGACAUAAUAUAUUUUGUGAGUUUGAUCAGUAGGUUUAUGGAGAAUCCUACAGAGAUGCAUUUAUUGGUUACUAAGAGAAUCCUUCGUUACUUGCAAAGAACCAUAUAUUUUGGGUUGUUUUACAAAAAAGGAGAAUUUUAAUAUCUAUUUAGGUUCAUUGACUGUGACUGUAGGAGAUCUAGAUGAUAGAAAAAACACUUCAGUUUAUGUUUUCAUGAUGGGAAUCGGAGUUGUUUCAUGGUCAUCCAAGAGGCAAUCUAUUGUUCCUUUGUCAACAACUGAAGCUGAAUUUGUUGUUGCAACAACCUGUGCUUGUCAAGCUAUUUCGUUGAGAAAAAUCUUGGAGGAGCUGAAAUUCAAGAGAAUGGGAGCUACAAUAAUUUUUUGUGACAACAACUCAGUUAUCGGAUUCUCAAAAAAUCCAGUAUUACAUGGUAGAAGCAAGCAUAUUGAUGUGAAGUACUAUUUUUGAGAGAUCUUAACAAUGAUGGGGUAGUUGAUCUUAAAUGCUGCAAGAGUAAAGAUCAGCUGGAUGACAUAUUCACCAGACCUGGCAAAUUAUUUCCCUUAUUGUGAGUCCUAUUGUGAGCCUUAUUAUGUUAGUGCCUAAUUUCUUGAUUUUUCUGUUAUGUAAUUGCAUAUAUAAUAGGUUUUUGAUGUUGCGAAUAAAUGAACUGAUCAUCUUAUUUUCCCUUUCCUUUAUUUUUUUCAUAUUGCUGUUAUCUCUCUUAGUAAGCUAACAGCACCUUCACCUCUUUAAGCCCUACCAUUAUCAACUUGCCCUUUAGAAUCAGUGCUACAAAGCUCUCCUUUCAAACUCACCAAGAAGCUCCACCAACAAAAUGUCUACACCAUCAACAUCACCUCUCUAGGCAAGCCAAUGACAACACAUUACACCUUGCCCAAAAAUAUUAUCUCAUGGAAGGCCACUUUAUAAUCUCUUGCUCAAUUGCAAUAGAGGGGUGAUCCACCCAAGCACACUUACAUAAAAAUGGAACAAAUAAAAUCAAUUAUAUCAACAACGUAGGCACCACAUUAUCAUAAGCAUGAUGGUGUCAAAUUAUAAUAUAGUAGUUACAAUGGAACACUUACAUAAGUACUCCAAGGAUCAUUCUUCCACAUGGAUUGAUAAAGGAAGUCCAUAACCAAACAAACAAAUUUGGCCAUUACAAAUACAAUGAGGUAAACUUAAAUGAUCUUUGAAUAGUUAGGUGACCAAAGGGUAAACUUACUAGUUGUUGAGUGGCUAUAAGUGUAGUUUACCAAUUCUUUAAUGUUUAAGAUUACUUUUGUUUAAAUCUUACCUUUUUGCUUCAAAAUUAUUGGUGUUCUUGGUUGGUUGAAAAACUAGAGGAAUGGGAGGAAGGAGUGGAAAAGUGGAAAGAAAAUAAAAUUUAAUUGUACUUCGUAGGGAAUAAAAGUGAGAGAAAAGAAAAUAGGAGAGAUAAUCAUUUUUCAUCUUAAUGCAUAGAAAUCAAUCCUUCCAAAUUGGAAAGAUGAGAGGAGAGAAUAUUAUAAAGAUGUGUAUGUUAGUUUAAAAUUAUGCUAUUUUCUUUCAUUUCAUUUUUUAACUCUAUCAAACAAUAGAGGGAAAGAAAAUUACUUUGUUUUUCCACUUUUUCAUUUCUCCUAUCAAACACAACUACGGAAAGAAAAUUUAUGUUUUCCAUCCUUCUAAUUUUCAACCCCUUCAAUAUUCCAUCUUUCCAAUUUUCUUUCCACUCCAACAAGCAAAGCGAAAAUGUCUAGAGACAAAAUUGUUGACUUUUAUAAUUGUUAUAACAAACGUCGAUAAUGACAAUAGCAUGAUCGCAAAGUAUGAAAAAAAUAAGAACACACAGAUUUUACGUGGAAACCCUUUCGGGAAAAAACUACGGACAAAGGAGAAGAAAUUUACUAAUGUUGAAAAACGAAUAAUACAGGAGAAGUUUCGACUACAUCUAUUAAAAAGGUUAAAAAAUCCUAUUAUAAUCAAUAUCAAAUAGAAUAAAUAUAGUUCUUCAACAAGUGACGGGAUUUGGGUCACACAAACUCUAACAAUAAUUAAUGAAUUAAUUUAGUCUUUUACUUCAUAAUACAAUGACCCACAUUGUGAAAUUUCCAUUUCUGUUUUAGAAAAUUUCUAAAAAAAAGUUGUUUAGAAAUAAUCUUCUCAUGAGUUGUAAGUAAAAAAUCCAGUAAUAUUAUUAAAUAUUUAGUAAUAUUACAAGAAAUCUGUAUUCCUAAUAUAAGUAGCUUUGUAAAAGACUUAGUAAUUUACAUUGUAAGAAAUUCAAUAAUUUAUUGAAAAUGUUACAAUGUUGUAGCAAAUUCAGUAUUUUAAGUAGCCCACACUAAAUCUUUUUUAAAAUUACUGAAUUUAUAAUAAUUACUGAAUUACUUACAUGAUUACCAAAAAAAACUUCAACUAUUACUGAAUUCAUUAUGACAUUUUUUAUUUAUCUAAUUUCUUAAGGAAUUCUAUCAGUAAUUCAAUAAUUCUUUAAGAGUUUUAGUAAUUCAGUAUUUUUACGAAAUUUAGUAAUUUACGAAAUUAUGAAAAAUUAGGUAAACAUUAAAAUGUUUUAAGAUAUUCAAUAAUUGAUUUAGGUUAUUCAAUAUAUUUUAAUUUUAAUUUUAGUUUGGCCAUAAUAAGCACUUUUGUUCCUUGGGUUUGUGGGUUUGCUGCAAAUUAGAAAGGUUUCAUCAAUUUUUUAUUUAUUUCUCUAGGUUAUUAGAGUGAAUUCAAUAAUUAAUCCUCCACAUUCAAUAGGUCCAUUAAGGGGUAGAUGCGGACAACGAGUUUUAAAAUUACUCCAUACCCAGGAUAAUAAUUGAACAUUGGGCCACUGGUUAAGAUAGAAGAGACCCUUAACAUCUCAUUUAACUCCUGUGGCUAAAGGGUUCGUUAAUUUUAACAAUAUGUUUUAAGCUUCGUUAUGAGUUAACCCUUCACUCUCCUAGCUACAGAACUAAACUAAAGCAUCAACUUCUAGCUCCCCUUACCAUCAUGCAAUGGUCAUUUCGUGCUUUCAUAAAAUAAAAGUCCAUUUCAAAAGAGAGAAAUCUGAAUAAAAGAUUCAUCAUUAGCAAUAAAAAACAUGAAGAAAUUGAGAAGAAAACAAAAGAAAGAAAAGAGACAUGCCCAUUUCAGAAGGUGGAAAGCCUAAACUUUAGUUUAGAUUUUUAGGGAUUUCUAAGAAGUUUUUUUUUCGAAAAUCAAGCAAAGGAUUGGAUUUGAAAUUUUAGUUUUUUUUUCAUAUAUAUUUUAGUUUUUUUAAAAUUUUUAUAUCAUUUUUAUUUAAAAAUUUUUAGGAACUAUAAAAAAGAAAUAUAUAUAUAUAGUGAUUAGUUCUGCAAUUCAACUUAAAUUUUUCAUCUAACAUAAUUACUUAACAUGUUACGUUAGCUUACUGUUAUUUUAUUAAUGAUAAUUAAUAGCUCAAUAACUAGAUAUUACAAAUCGAUAACGUUAGUGACCAUUUUGUAACAAAUUAAAAUCCAAUGACUAAAAUGUAAUUUAAACCAUAGAUAAAUGAAUAUUUUUAUAAUUUAUCCUAUAUAAUAUUAUAUAUAUGUACCUCAAGAAAAAAAAAUAUCAUACAUAUGCACGCCAAACUAUAUAUAUAUUUAAUGUUAAGUUUCUAAUAUACAAUAUUUAUAAUAUUUAUAAAAAUUAAAUUUUAAGUUUAAAAAUUAUGAAAAAUUUUAAAAAUCUAAAAGUUUCAAACUACACCAACUGACCACAUGCUUGUUGGAAAUACUUAAAUUCAAUGCACAAUAAAAUACUAAAAAGAAAGGAGUUAAUAUAUGUUAACUUUGUUGAUGUGGUAUAUAUGUAAAUUACUAUGUGAAUGAAAUCUCAACAAUUAAAAUUUUUAAAUUUUAGAAAGUUUAACCAAAUAUAUAAAAAAAUAUUUUAAAAUUUAAAAUCAUUUUAAAAAUUUUAAAAAUAUAUUUUAAAAAUUUUAAAAAUUAAUUAAUUGUUAACGUGGCACAUACGUGGAUGCCAUAGUAAUAAAGUUAACAAACAUUAAUUUUUCCAUCCAGUUUGGGAUGAUUUGACAAACAAUGCAAAUUCAAGAGCUAAAAGAGACGAAAAAUUAAAUGAAGAACUAAAAUGACAUUUUAUAAAGUUGAAGGGCUAAAUAAAUUAUUAUGCUUUUUUAAUAACCGUUAUUUCUUUCUUUUUUUUAACAUGCCAAAUUUAAAAUAUGUAUAUUAAAUAUUUAAUUUUAUAUUGUGUGCGAAAUUAAUUGAUUUGGUUUAAUAUAAAUAAAAAUGUAAUACUUAAUUACUCAGUAUUAGAUAAGUUUACUAUCAAUUAGUAAAAAGUAAUUAUAAUAAGUGAAAGUUAUUUUUAGAAUUUAAAGUUUAUCCAAAUGAAUUAUUAAUGCCAUUAGUAGAACUACGAAUGCACAAUAAGGGAAGAAUAUAUCAAUUUUAUUGAUAAAUCUAGACGCCUUUAGUGAAAUUUGCUGAUUCCCUUUGAAUAUUGUUUUUAAAAUUAUGAGUUCCAAAUAUAAAAUUCUAGUAUUGACUGAAUCAUACAACUAUAGAAUUCAAUUUGAAAAAAAUAUGUUAAAUUAAUUGUGAAAAAUACCUUAUUUAAAGAGUCAAGCCGACAUUUUUUUUUUCUUUCUUUUUAUUAUUAUAAAUAUGAAGUAAACAAACACCUGUUAAAUAAUUAUAUUCAUGUUGAAAUUAAAGCGUCCGGUGAAUUUAAAAAUUCUUUUUAGAGGGCCUGAAAAUGAAUUAUAUAUCGUUUCGAUAGUAAAAAAGUAAUUUCAUCAUUUUAAUAGUUUAUAUCUUUAUAAUUUUUAAAGAAUUAAAUCAAAAUUUAUUAUUUUUAGGGUCAAAGUACAAUUUUAUCAUUACUAAUUUGAAAUUUUAUAAAUUAUAAAAAACUUUAAAUAGAAAAUUUUCCAUUUUAAGGGGAACCGAAAUUCCUCUGGCUCCGCCCGACACACAUCACAGUUGCACAUAAUUAAUUAAUAGAUUAAAUCUUAUUACAUGUUUCUCAUUUUUAUUUCUUAUUUCAACGAAUUCAUCGUCACUAAGAUUGACUAAUUUGUCCUUUACAAUGAUCCAAAAGACUUUUCAACACUCUCAGUCUAAGGGGUUCCUCCGGAGUCCGUAUAUUAUGUUUCAAGUCAAUAAUUUUACUGUUUUUUUAUGGAUGCUGAAAAUAUGAUCAAUGUGCCCCUUUUCCCCCCUUAAAUUAUCUCAUUAUGCUGAAAAUUAUGUUAAAUUAAUUGUGAAAAUAUGUUAUUGAAAUAGUCAAGCCUUUUUUUUAAUGCUUUUACUAUUAUAAUGGCAGUACACUUGCAAAUAUAAAUUCAUGUUUAAGGCAAAGAAUUGAAAACAAUUCAUCAUUAGAUAUUUAUGAGUUAAAAGUUGGGUUGAGUCGAGAUCUAGUUUAAAAUAUUUUUCAAGUUUAAGUCUAUUUUCGGGUUAAAAAUUAAUAAAAUAUUAAAAAUAAAUUUUUAAUUGUUAUUUUAUAUAAUUUUAGAAUUAAAUUUUAAUUUUAAAAUAUUUUUUAUUAUUUAAAUUGAAUUCAAGUCAGGCCGGUUCGAACUGCAAAAAUUCUUGUCCAAAUCUGAUCUAAAAACUAAACUCAAUUACCCAAAUUAUUUAAAUUAUUUAUACUAUGUUAAUUAGCAAUUUAAAAAAUUUGUAAAAGUUGAACGUCGACAAUAACAAUAUAGAACGAUUGCAAAGCAAAAGAAAGAAAAAAUAAGAACACGAAGAUUUUACGUGGAAACCCUUUCGGGAAAAAAAGACCAUGGGUAGAGGAAAAAAAAAUUCACUAAUGUCGAAUUCGAAAGAUACAAGAGGAGUUUAGACUACGUCUAUUUAUAGGUUGAAAAAUCUUAUUCUAAUCAAUGUCAAAUUAUUAAAGAGUAGUAAGGUUAAAAAACCUUAUUCUAAUCAAUGUAAAGUAAAAGAAGUAUAGUUUUAUAUGAAUUUUAUUUUAUUUUUAUUUUAACAAGGACUCAAGUCACUCAACUCUAACAAUCUCCACCUUGACAUGAAUUCUCAACGAACAAGUUCUUCACCACGAACUCUUAACGAACAAGUUCUCCACCUAUCCCACGAAACCCUUUAAAGGGUGUUCUUCAACAAUGAAUACCAGUCAAGUCCAAGCAAUACUCAAACUUCUUGGUUAUAGGAAGUGGCUUAGUCAUCAUAUCCGUAGGAUUUUCAUGAGUACUAACUUUGCUCACAACAAUAUCACCACAAGCAAUAAUAUCAUGCACAAAAUCAUACCGAACAUCAAUAUGAUUUGUUCUCUCAUGAAACAUUUGAUCCUUCGUAAAGAAGAUGACACUCUGACUAUCACAAAACACUGUAUUGAUCUGAAGGUCUUUACUGAGUUCACCAAAGAGUCUCUUUAACCAAAUAGUUUUUUUACAAGCCUCGGUAAUCGCCAUGUACUCAGCUUUAGUAGUAGACAAAGCAACUGUAGUUUGCAAAGUAGCUUUCCAACUGAUUGUGCAACCUCCAAUUGUAAAGACAUACCCUAUGAGAGAUCUUCUUUUAUCAAGGUCUCCAGCAAAAUCAGAAUCAACAUAUGUAAUGACUCCAUCCCUAGUUCUUCCAAACUAUAAGCAAACAUUAGUAGUACCUCAUAAGUAUAUGAAAAUCCACUAAACUAUUUUCCAGUAUUCUUUAUUGGGAUUCGCCAUGUAUCUACUAAUUGCACUAACUAUACAUGACAAAUCUGGACAUGAGCAAACCAUAGCAUACAUGAGAGAUCCCAUUGCACUAGAAUACUGAUUGCAAAGACAAAACCGAUGAAAGUCUAAAGUGGGUUGCUAAUAGGGUCCUAAUAGGCUUGGCAUUCUGCAUAUUGAACAUGCAAAGAACUUUUUCAAUGUACCAUUUCUAACUUAGGUACAAUUUACAUGCUUUUCUAUCUCUGAGAAUCUCCAUCUCAAGUAUCUUCUUUACUGCUCCCAAACCCUUUAUCUCAAAUUCUUUAUUAAGUUGGGCUUUGACCUUUCUUAUCUCUUAUUUAUCUUUGGCUGCUAUCAACAUGUCAUCAACAUAGAAGAGUAGAUACACAAAAGAACCAUCACUGUUUUUCUUAAAAUAAAAACAACUGUCAAAGUUGCUUCUUUUGAAAUCAUGAGGAGUCAUAAAAAAAUCGAACCUCUUGUACCACUGCCUUGGUGACUGUUUCAAGCCAUAAAUGGACUUUUUCAACAAGCAAACAUAGUCAUCCUUUUCUGAUACAGUAAAAUCUUCUGGUUAUUGCAUGUAAAUAUCUUCCUCAGAUUCCCCAUGCAAGAACGUUGUAUUUACAUCUAACUACUCAAGCUCCAAAUCAUACAUGGCCACAAUACCAAAUAAGGCUCGAAUCGAAGUAUGUUUCACAACUGGAGAAAACAUAUCUAUGAAGUAUACACUUGAAAUCUGACUAUAACCUUUUGCAAUCAGCCUUGCUUUAUACAUGGGUUCUUCAACUUCAGAGUUCCUUAUUUCUUUUUGAACACCCAUUUACAACGAACAACCUUUUUACCUUUAGGAAAUCUUACUAGAUCCCACGUUCUAUUCUUAUAGAGCGAUUCCACCUCUUCUAGCGUGGCAAUCAUCCAUUUUCUUAAAUCUUCACAAUUAAUUGCCUCAGAAUAAGUAGAUGGCUUUUGAUUUGCAUCUAUAUCUUUAGCCACAUUUAAAGCAUAAGCAACUAGGUCGACCUCAACGUACCUCUUUGGAGGUUUAAUUUCUCUUCUAGGUUUAUUCUUGGUAGUAGAAUAUUGUGGUGAAGAACAACUCUACUCUAAGUUUUUAUACUAACUUAAGUGUUGGAUCACCAGCACCCCUAUGGCGCAGCGAAAAAAAUUAAAAUCGGCGACCCUAACCAUGGAUCCAUGUGUGAAGAACGAAUCGGGGUGAAAAGAUUACGAAAUUACCUAAUAUUUCGAUUAAGAAGAUAGUAACUUCUCGACAAUGUGUAGUCUGAUUUACAGUCAAACCAAGCCGCAAUCUAUCGAGACUCCAACCUCUACGUAAUCCACCCAGUUGACUACGAACGGAAGAAAAUCCCCAAAACAGUUUUGAGAGUUAUAUUUUUUUACGGCUGCUAGACCUUAAAAUAAUGAAAAACGGGAUUCUAAUAUAUCUCUUUUAUUUUUAGGGUUUUUAGGAAUUAAAUAAAUAUAAUAAUAUUUUAAACCGAAAAUUUUAAUUACAUUAAUUAUAAUAUAAUUUCGGUAAACCAUAUAUUUAUUUAAAUUCAUAUGCUAAUCAAAUUCAUGUCCUCAUUAUGCGUACAACAACCUUGUACAUAAUGUGUUGGAAAUUUGAUUACUGAAUUAAAUUAAUUCUAUAAUUAAUUUAAUUCAAGUGACACCCAAAAAUAAAACCAACUAUGGUUUAUUCCGUUCAUUUCAACUAUAGUGUGUGACCUUGUAGGUUCUUGUAACGUUAGCAGUAAUACUAGAACGAUUCCAAUGUUACAAACAAUGAGUGGCAUCUAGCAAUGCAUCAUUCUACCUAAGUCACAAGAGAUCAUGAUUCGACAUAACCUUUUAUGAUUAACCUUUUAUGCAAUAAUCCUUAAGUCCUUUAUCUCUGGAUUGGACACAAGUCAUGGAAUAGUCACACUUGUAUAGUCCAUUCCAUGUUCCUUGAUAUCUUAAGCAGACUACGAUAUACACAUAAGUAUGACAUCUCAUAUCAACUUAUUUGAGCAUGGCCAUGCAUUUCUAGUCUCACUUAAUCAAGUGGCCUAAGAUAUUACUCCCAUUAUGUAGGAGGGACUUAUUCUAUAUCGACCAACCAUAUCCCUCUACAUCGAUUGUGAUAUAUCCAACAUCAGCCUUUAUAGAACAACCAGUUACGGUGUACGUUUAACUGUAUCAAAAUAUAUUACUCACGAUGUUGGGAUUAUGAUGAUCUCAAGUCUGAGGAUCAUAUACAUAUUAAUCACUAUGAGUAAUGUCGUGACAAUUACAUAAUAAUCCAAGAGANNNNNNNNNNNNNNNNNNNNNNNNNNNNNNNNNNNNNNNNNNNNNNNNNNNNNNNNNNNNNNNNNNNNNNNNNNNNNNNNNNNNNNNNNNNNNNNNNNNNAGUCCAAUAUGUUGUUCUCUAACACACAUAUUCAUGCAUCGAUUCUGACAUUCCAUAUCAAUGACAACUCUUUAUCAUCAAUCAACUACAUGUUAGUCUUAAUGCAUUAUCCUUGUCCUAUCCAACAAUAAUACUUGACUAAGGAUCUUUUAAGAAUAAUCAUAUUAUUCUUAGGACAUUAUUAUAAAACAGCUUAUUUAUACACACAGAAAAGAAACUGAAAUAAUAAUGGUAACGCCUUAUAUUAAUAAACAUGAUAAAUCAAGUAUGUUAUUACAAUCAUCUCAUGAUUGGUCUUUGGGCAUACUCUAACAUUAAGAAGUAGACUCUGUUAUAGAUCCUGGAUCAAUCUGAAGCUCCACCUGUUUUUCCUGGUUAUUAUUGGAAGAGUUUUUAAGAGAUAAGUUAGGUAGCAUAGCAGUUUCAUAAAAAAAUAAUAUCUCUGCUAAUCACAACUUUUCUAUUUUCAGGACACAAUAAUUUAUAUCCUUUAACACCAGCCUUAUAACCAAGAAAAAACACAUUUAAUGGAUCUAGGUUCUAAUUUCCCACUAUCAACAUGAGCAUACACAGGACACCCAAAAAUUCUCAAAUUAGAAUAAUCAGUAGGAUUACCAGACCAUACAUUUUGUGGAGUCUUUUUCUCAAUGGCAACGAACAGAGACUGGUUAAUCGAAAAACAUGCAGUACAGGCCACUUCAGCCCAAAAUGACUUCGGUAAACAAGCAUUCGAUAACAUACAUCAAACUUUUUCCAUGAUUAUUCUAUUCAUCCAUUGUGCAAUGCCGUUUUGCUGUGGAGUAUGACGAACUGUCAAGAGUCGCAUGAUUCCUUUUGAUUUGCGCAAUUUAAUAAACUCAUCAAAACAUAAUCCCAUGCCAUUAUCUAUACGGAGGUGUUUUAUCUAUUUUCCUGUCUAGUUAUUGAUCAUAGUUUUCCAAGCCUUAAACACAAAAAACACAUCACUUUUCUGCAAAAAUCAUCAAUGAUUGUUAUCAUAUAAUUAGCGUCACCCUUCGAAGGCACUCUGGAUGUUCCCCAAAGAUCAGAAUGAAUAUAAUCCAGCAUUCUCUUCAUGUUAUGGAUUCCUCUAGUGAAUCAAACUCUCUUUUGCUUCCUAAAAACGCAGUGCUCACAAAACUUUAGUUUGCUAAUGCCUUGUCCAUCAAAAAGUCUUCUUUUGCUUAAUUCUACCAUGCUAUUCUCACUCAUAUGCCCUAGACAUAUAUGUCAAAGUCUAGUAACAUAAUCAUCUAACAAGGAAGAGGAAGCGACGGCUGCAUCACCAGUAACAGUAAAACCUUGCAAAACAUAUAACUUGGCAAUCUUUCUCUGCCCUUUCAUCACAAUGAGGGAAUCCUUACUAAUCUUUAGAACUCCACUUUCAGCUGUGCACUUGUGCCCUUUUGAAUCAAGAGUACUCAACAAAAUCAAAUUCCUCUUCAAUCAUGGUAAAUGUCAUAUUCCACUAAGUGUUCUGAUGACUCUAUCGAACAUUUUAAUUUUGAUCGUGUCAAUACCUGUGAUUUUACAUGAAGCAUUAUUUCUCAUCAAAACAACACUUUCAGACACAAUUUCAUAGGUUGUAGACCAAUCUCGAUUUGGACUCAUAUGGAACGUACAAUCAGAAUCGGGGAUCCCCUCCUCGCUCACUUUAAAUUUGUUGGCAAAAAUAACUAGAAGUUCACCAUCACUGUAGUUUUCUGCUACAUCAGCUUCACCGGAUUGUUCUGGUUGUUUUCCCUUUUGAUUCACAAUCUCCCUUUUGAUCUUGUUUUACAACUUAUAGCACUUAGAUUUAAUGUGCCCUUUCAUCUUGCAAAAGUCACAGGUUUUACCUUUGUUUGAAGAUCUUGAUCUACCCUUAAAUUUGCUGCUAGGAUUUCGCUCUUAUGUCCUCUAACGAUUAUCAUCAGUAUUUUGUUCUUGUCUACCACGAACAGUGAGACCCUUUCCCUGAGAGUCGGAUCCAACUACAGGAUGUUUCAUCUUGUCAUACGAGGCUAAAGGAGCAUAGACUUCAUCAACUGUGAUAGAUUCACAACUAUACAAAAUCGUAUCUCUAAAGGUUGAAUAAGACGGGGUAACGAAUAAAGUAGAAUUAAACCUAAAUCUUCUUUGUCAUACUAAACCUCCAUGGCCUCUAGGUCAGAGAGAAUUUUUUUAAACACAGUUAAGUGUUCGUGUACAGACGCACCUUCCUCCAAAUGAUAAGCAUAAAGACGCUGGUUAUAUGCAACUUGCUAGUUAAGGUUUUCGACAUGUAUAAUUGUUGCAACUUUGCCCGUAAUGCACCGACGAUCUUCUCAUUCAUCACGCCCUGUAGAAUUUCAUUUGACAAAUGGAGAUGUAAUUGUGUUAAAACCUUUCGAUCUUUACGUUUCUUCUCCUCCUCUGUCAAUGUCGAAGGCAUCUUAUCUACCCCUAGCAAGGCAUCCUCUAACUCCAUUUGCGCAAGAACUGGCUGCAUCUUUAUCUGCCAUAGUGCGAACCAGGUGUUGUGAUCUAGUAGUGGAAUAUCAUACUUCAAUGUCGCCAUUACCAUGAUCGAGACAAACAACCCGAAAAGCUCUGAUACCAGUUUGUAAAAGUUGAACGUCGACAAUGACAAUAUAAAACAAUCACAAAUCAAAAGAAAGAAAAAUAAGAGAACACAGAUUUUACGCGGAAACCCUUUCGAGAAAAAAACCACGAGUAGAGGAGAAGAAAAUUCACUAAUGUCAAAUUCGAAUGAUACAAGAGAAAUUUAGACUAUAUCUAUUUAUAGGUUGAAAAACCUUAUUUUAAUCAAUGUCAAAUAGAUGAAGUGUAGUAAGGUUGAAAAACCUUUUUCUAAUUAAUGUAAAAUAAAAGAAGUAUAAUUCUAUAUGGAUUUUACUUUUAUUUUAAUUUACCACUGUAUUUUAUUUUAACAAGGAUUCGAACCACUCAACUCUAUAUAUAUUUAAAAUCAUUCAAAUUUGAAAAAAUAAAUUAAAAUUAAAAAUAUUUUGUUGAAAAUCUGAAAAUUAUUUUUAAAAAGUCCCCCUCAUCUUCUUCAUCUAAAAGAAUGAAGAUUUUCACUGUCAUUUUUUUAUUUACUUAAAACUCUCAGAUCGUAAAAGAUUACUUUUUGUGCAUCCAAAUGAAAAACCCUCAACCAUCCCUUGUAGAAAAGAGAAGACUUGAAGCAAAUGGCACAAAUUCGAUCCGUUUGCGCUUUAAUUUCUAGCGAAAAGUUGGCUAUGUAACAUCAUCAAAACCAACCCUAAUAAAAUUUCUAACAUAGACAUAUUUUUUUAUUUAACUGCGAUUUGUUAUUUAGAAAAUCAUGGUUAUAAUAAAAUUUUAAAAUCAAUUAAAAUUCAUUAAAAUAAUUUUUUAUCUACGAAAUCAAAAUCUAAAUUAGAAAUUAACUGUUAUGCAUGAAGAAGCUUAAUACUAUUUUUGGUCUUUGUACUAUAGUGAAAUUCUUAUUAUGGCCUUUUAUUAUUUUUUGGUCAGAUUGUUUUCUCUAUUUCCAUUUCGUCACUAAGUUCGCCCUUUUAGCAAGUUUCAUUAAAAAUAUUAAAUCCACGAAUGACUUGCUGUGCCACAUUUAAAAAAAUUAAAAAUUUUACUUAAAAAAUUAAAAAUCCAAAAUAUCUCAAAAAUAACAAAAAUUUGAAAACAUAGAAUUUUUUUUUAAAAUAUCCUAAUCUACUUUUGAAAAUUAUAAAAAUUAUUUUUUUACAAAAAAAUUAUUUAAAAAAAUAAGAACUCAUUUAAAUUCCACAAAAAUCAUAAUUUUUUUAAAAGAGUCCCAAAAAUCUUAAAACACAAAAAAAUUAUAAGAUCUUAAUCUAUUUCAAAUUCACUUAAAAUUUAAAAAAUAUAAAAAAACUAAAAUAAAUCAUUAAAAUUCCCCAAAAAAACAUAAUUUUUUUUAAAUCCAGAAAAAUCUUAAAAUUCUGAAAUUUUAAAAAAAAUCAAAAUAUUAAUCUAUUUCAAAUUCACUUAAAAUUUUAAAAAUAUAAAAAACUAAAAAAUAUUAAAAUUCCAAAAAUAUAUAUAUUAAAAAAACACCCCCAAAAAAUCUUAUAACUUUGAAAAUUAUAAAAUAAACUUUUAAAAAAUCUUAAUCUAUUUUUGAAAAUUAUAAAAAAGAAAACCUAAACUUAUAAGUAUGCAGAACUUCAAGAAAAUAAAAAAAUCAUAAAAAUAUAAAAAAUGUUUUUCUUUUUUGAAUUUAGGGUUUUAUAAAAAUAUAGAAUUUUAUGAAAAAUUUUAAGAAUUUUAUGGUAAUUUUUACUUAGGAUUUCCAAAAAAAAAAAAAAUCCCAUAAAUUUCUUCUAAAUUUUAAUAAAAUUCCAAAAUUUUAUAAAAACCUAAAAUUUUCUACAAACCUAAAAUUCCAAAAAGAAACUCAUUUUUUUUAACUUUUUUUCAAAGUUUCGCAUGCUUAUACUUUUUUUUUUCAAAAAAUAUAGUUUUGAAAAAUAUAUUAAGAUUUUUUUAGUUUUUUUAUUACUUUUCUAUGUUUUUAUAAAAGAACCAAAGUGAGAAUUUCAGAUAUUAAGCCAAAAGAUAUUACCUUUUAUUUGAGUUUAUUUAGAGUGAGAUUUCACCGUAUGCAAACAAAAGAGAAUUACAAUACAAAGCAGAUCCUCUCUUUUCCUCCUUUCUUUUUCCGUAGUUUUCUUCUUCUUCUUCUUCUUCUUCUUCUUCCUCUCUUGUAAACUUCUUUUCUUUCUCCUUUACAUGCUUCACUGUUCUCUUCACCUCUCUCUUUUUUCUUCUUACCUUUUUUUGCUUUUCCAUGCAAAAUGAGGCAGGAGGCCAUGCCACCCUUAAAUGUUAAUAACACUGACAAAUAACAUAAUAAUCUAAACUAAAAAAUUAAUAGUCAAAAUCCAAAAUAAAAUCGAGCUAUGAAAGUGUAGCAACAUUCAACUUAGAUUUUUCAAAUUAAACCUAACCCUAGAAUUCAGAUUUAUUGAAAGUGACUUUAAAAUUAAGUUUAGCCCGGAUAAAAAUAAUACCUAUAAUAUAAAUAAUAUUUUUUAAUUAUUUUUUAAUCAAAUUGAUGUUUGAUUAAUGGGUGAUACCGAUACAAAAAAUUUAAAUAGAAACAUAAAUUCUAAUUUAAAUGUUUUAAAAGAAAAUACUAAUUGUUCAAGACUGUAUUUAAUUCAGUUCGUUUUUCUUCGAUUUGUCCUUCUAUUAGAUGAAAAAAAAACUAAUAAAACGACUCGUAAAUUAAUACAUAUUAAUAUUUUUAUUUUUAUCGUGUUAUUGAAAACUAUGGGAUAUUUUACUUUUGAAUUUCAUAUAAAUAUUAAAUGUGCAUAUAAACUCUUCAAGGAUAAUUUAAUUAUUAUUUAAUAAGAAAAUUUUAAGGUAAUAAAAAUUGUAUGUGAGAGAACCCGAUGUGAUGGCUCGAGCUGAUGUGAGUUUCUUUAUUGGCCUAAUAAUAAAUUUAGUCUUCUAAUAUUUACACGUUCUACCCAAGUUUGGAAGUUACUGAUGAUGAUAUGUCCAAGUAAAAAAAAAGGCGAAAAAAAACAAAUUUUCUAUGUUUUGAAAGAUUUCGCAUUUCAUUGUUUCCUCUAUUUGAAUAUUAAGUAUUUGUACAUUUUUUAAAUAAGAAAAACAUGGAAAUAAUUAUUUUGUAAUUGUUUAAAGAAUUGUUAAUUUAUUUAGAGGAAUUGAUUCUUAGAUUAUAUGAUAUUAAUCUAAAAUAUGACACUAAAAUAGUUGGAUUUAAGCCAACUUGAUUUUUUACCAUAUUCAAAAAGGCGAUAUUAAUUUAAAAAGAGCACAAUACAAAUAGUGUUAAAUACUCUUCUUGUUUAGUAUAUUUUGGAGGUACGUUAAAGAAUAUUUAAAAAAAUUUAAAUACUUUCCAAUUUUCUAUUGAAAUUUUUAGAAUUAGAACUAAACUGACAAAUUCUGUGAUGGCUAAAUUUAUUGAUUUUUUUUAGAAUUCGAACUAAAAUGACAAAUUUUGUAAACAUUUAGGGCUAAUUUUGUUGAUUUUGUUUUAGAUUUAGGAUCAAACUGAUAGAAUGUGUAAAUAUUGGAGGCUAAAUUUGUUAUUAGAUCAAUAAAAAGGGCUUACCGAGCUUUUCAUCACUCAUCUAACAACAACUAACGAGAGAGUGACUAAAAUAUUUAAUUUCAAAAAAUUGAGUGGCAAAAUGGAAAAAAAAAUCAAUAGUCAGGUGACCAAAUAGAACCGAAGGCAUAAUUGGUGACUAUUGUUGUAGUUUACCCUUUUAGUAAUUAAAAUUAAUUUCUUUCAAUAAGUUCAAAUAAUAGAAAAUAAUUAUUUGAUAAUUAAAUGAAGAACUACAUUGGUAGUCACUCAACUAUUAGUAUUUUUUUUUGUCAUGCAACUAUGAAACUUUACAAAAAUGGUCAAUAAUUAUUCAACUUUUUUCUAUUUGGUCAACCAACUACCGGCCAUUAAUUUAUACAUUGUGUCAAUUUAGUCUUGAUUCAAAAAAAAUUAACCCUCAACAUUUACACAUUGUGUCAUUUUUUUUUGCAGUUUUACUUUUAUUUGUGACAUUGAGGGUUAAUUUUAAAAGAAUGAGAAAAUAUGAAAAUUAUUAUCUUGGAUUUUGGGUGUUUUCAUUUUUGAUAUAUUUCCGAUUAAAUUUAGUUGAUAGAUUGUUUUUCUUAGCUUAUUAGGUGAAAGGGUCACAAAGAAAAACAAAGAAAAAAUACCAAAUUACAUCAUGUGUAAACACUGAGGGUCACAAUGUAUAAAUGUUGAGUGCUAAAGUUGCUAUUAUGCCAAUUUUAAAAGUUAUACGUCACCUUUUAUUCAAUCAUUCAACGACUAGUGAAAACGAAAAAACCAAAUAGUUGAGUGACCACUUCGUAACUUUUCAUAAUUGGGUGGCUAAAAAAAGAAAAGUACUAAUAGUUGGAUGACUUGAAAUGUAAUUUACCCUUAAAUAAAACAAUGGAUAAUUUGUGAUUGGUGUCCCAAAAUUAUAAAAAAGAAACUAUAUUUGCUAUAAGAAAGGUUAUAUCAACUAGAUAGACUAUAGUGGACAUUAAAUGACGUACCAUAAAAAAUAAAAAGAAAAGAACAAACAACUUCAAAACCUAUAUAUAUAUAUAUAUACAUAUAUAUAUAUAUAUAUUAUUUAAAGGUUGUAUUCUUUUGACUUAAAAAGAAUAAUUGAGGCUAAAGAGAUUGCAAUGAUUUAAGCAUGUUAUUCAUGACUAUAAUGUUUUGGAAAAAUAUAUAAUAUUAUACUUUUUGUAAAAUCAUAAGGAGCGUUAAUGAUUGACAAGUAUCUUAUAAGAAUAUAGUAAAUUUUUUUAAAAAAUACACAUUAUAGUUUUUUAAGACUGUUUGUGAAAUUAAAAAAAAUACACUACUAAUGUACAAAAUACGUAUUGUCGAAACCGUUUUUUGAAAACAAAAAUUUUAGUUUCGACUUAAAAAUAAAAACAAAAACUGGAGUCGCCACCGAUCAUUUAUGAAGGUGUGAUCGGCCCACCUUAAAAAUAAUUUUGGUCUGCGAAAUUCGAGAAAACAGGCUCGGGAGUCAGUUACGCACGAGGAAGGAUUAGCACCCUCGUAACGCCCAAAAUUGGUACCAAAUUGAUUUUUUUUAAUGCCUUGGUGUCGAAAAUUUGAAAAGAUUUUAAAAGGAAACUUUUUAUUUCAUGAAUGGAUUAAAAUAAAAAGACAUUCGUAUUUCAAAGAAAUAAAACACCACACCCAGUGAGUUAGGGCACAAUGUUUUUAAAUCUUCAAAAUACCCGAAUAUUGCCUUUUGCUUUUGAAAAUUCUUAUUUCGAGAAGAAAAUGUCAUGACCAGUAAGUUAGGACCCAACAUUUCGAAUUCCCGAGAAUAAGUUUUUAUUUAAAAUUUGAAUUUAUUGCAAAACAAAUAUUUGGCUUUCUAAACUCAUCGAAAAAUAAUCGCGAUCCAAUAAGUUAGGACACGAUCUUUCACGAGAAUCAUGAAUACCAAAUAUUUUGGAAUUUAUAAAAUAAGAUGAUUUAAAUACUUUGAGAAAACAUAUAUUUUCUUUAAAAGCAAGAUAAAAUGUUAAUAUACAACAUGAUACACAUAUUUUAAUUUAAAUUAUAAAUGUGCAUGUAUUUACAAAAUAUAUAUAAGUGUAAUACACAAGUAAAUUUGAAAAUAUGUGCAUGCGUAUGUUUAACACACAUACACAAAUAUACAUAAAAAACAUGCAUAGCAUAACUUAUAAUAAUCUCCAAAAAUAUGUACGUAUAUUUCAUAAAACAUGCAUAUGUACAAAAAAAUAGAAAAAAAAAAUGCAUAUGCCUUGUAAAAUAUGAGAGUACAUACAUAUAUAUAUAUAUAUAUACAUAUUUAUUUAUAAAAACUAUGUAAACAAAAUAUAUAUAAAAUAUGAGCGUAUAAGGACUUCAAAGGAGAUUGGAUUGGUUACUUCAGUCUGCUCCACUGCAACUUCAGGGAGAUAAGACUUGUAUAUUCGAUCUACUUCACCACCAGUAUGGGAAGACAAGAUCUGUUUUCUUCGAUCUACUUCACGCCAAUACAUGAGGACAAGAUCUGUUUUUUCAAUCGAUUCCACUGCCGACCGGGGAGGUAGAAUUACUGGCUUCAAUAUACUCCGCUGCAACCUCAGGGAGGUAAAAUCCGCCAUCUUCGAUCUGCUCCACUACUGCUUAGGGAGAUAAGAUCUGUAAUCUUCAAUUUGCUCAACUGCAAUGUCGGGGAAACCAGAUCCGCCGUCGUGGCUUCAAUCUAUUCCACCGCACCGUUAGAGAAGUAAGAUUUGCCGUUGUGGCUUCAAUCUUUUUAAUUGCAAUAUCAGGGAAACCAAAUCCGCCGUCGUAGCUUCAAUCUGUUCCACUGCACUGCUAAGGAAGUAAGAUCCGCCGUUGUGGCUUCAAUCUUUUAAAUUGUAAUAUCAGGGAAACUAGAUCCGCCGUCGUAGCUUCAAUCUGUUCCGCUGCACUGCUAAGGAAGUAAAAUCCGCCGUUGUGGCUUCAAUCUUUUUACUUUUCAACCCGCUCCAUUGUUACUCACGGAGACAAGGCUUUAUGAUUUCACCGAUCUGCUCUCUGUGGAACAUGACCUGUAUGACUCACUUUAUGAGCCUAAUUAUGCCUAAUGAUUAGGAUGUCAUGAUCAGAAUGAAUCAAAUGCUCCUAACUAGGCGUGUAUAAAUGACAUUUGAAUAUUAUGUCAUGAAAAAUGAAUAUUGAAUGUGUAAAGUCAUUAUUGCUCAUUAAGGCUUCCUUCGUGGCAACAACGCUUCGUCAAAACUUGAAAAAUUUAAAAUCUCGACUCUUGGCUCCUAGAUAUCUCCGACCUUUUAACCCAGUGAAGGUCUAAACAAUAGUCCUGUUUCAGGUUCCUGAGUUAUUUAAAGAUUUCUAGAGUAAUAUGAAAAACUUCCCUUGUGAAAGUUUUACUAGUCCAUUAAUCGUCAUUCUAAUGCAACAUGCUUGCGAAAAGAUCAUAACGAUAACAUAAACAAAAUUAGUCUGGGAGGAUAGCUCGCAAUGGAUUGUCAAUGAUAGAGGAAUUGUCUGGGGACAUUUAUAUUGAAAAAAAAUGUCAUAAUUUAACAAUGAAUUCAAUACAAAUACUAUGAACAUGUGCCCCAGAUAUCUCUGCUUGAAUUUCUCUAUACAGCUUUCGAAGACCCUUUUGAAUUCAACACGUGUUUAGGAAAUUCACAGUAUUUUGUUGAUGCCCCAAGAUGUCGUCUAUUCCUUUCUGUCGAUUUAGGUACAGCAAGACUACCACGUGACAACCAAAAUUUGAGCCGCCCUUUUUGGGUUUUCAACUCAAAUCCCCUUUGGUCUUAAGGUGCCCUUUGCGGGUUUUCACCUUAGCCUCUCCUUUCCUUUUCUUUUCUUUUCUUUUUUUUUUUUGGAAUCAAAGCGCCCUUUGCGGGUUUUCACCUUGGUUACUUCCCUUCUUCAAGUAAAGUACCUCUUCACCGAAUCUGAAUUUACCGGAUUAGGCAAGUUUUUCCCGUCCAUUUCAGCCAGGAUCAGGGCUCCUCCAGAAAAGGCCUUUUUUACAACAUAAGGACCCUCCCAAUUCGGCAUCCAUUUCCCCUUAAAAUCCUUUUGUAGAGGAAGAAUUUUUCUCAACACCAGGUCCCCCUCGUGAAAUUCUCUGGGUCGGACUUUCUUGUUGUAGGCUCGCAUCAUUCUUUUCUGGUAUAUCUGACCGUGCUGAAUAGCCUUUAGCCUCUUUCCCUCUAUCAAGUUCAACUGAUCGUAUCGAGAUUGAACCCAAUCCGCUUCAUCCAAUUGUAGCUCAGACAAAACCCGGAGAGAAGGGACUUCAACUUCGAUGGGCAACACUGCCUCCAUGCCAUAAACUAAGGAGAAAGGCGUUGCCUCGGUGGAGGUCCUGGUUGACGUUCAAUAAACAAGGAGGGCAAACGGUAAUUUCUCGUGCCAGUCCAUGUAAGUCUCAGUCAACUUCCCUACAAUCUUCUUUAUAUUUUUAUUGGUCGCUUCUACUGCACCAUUCAUUUUCGGGCGAUACGGCGACGAAUUGUGAUGUCUGAUCUUGAAUUGACUGCAGACCUCUGCUAUUGAGCUGUUGUUCAAAUUCAACGUAUUGUCGGAUAUGAUUCUUUCAGGCAUUCCAUACCGACAUAUGAUCUCUCUCUUCAAGAACUUACUGACUGAUGACUUUGUAACAUUAGCAUACGAAGCAGCUUCUACCCAUUUGGUGAAGUAGUUAAUAACCACGAAUAUGAAAUGAUGCCCAUUUGAAGCCUUUGGCGAUAUUGGCCCGAUAACAUCCAUACCCCACAUGGAGAAAGGCCAUGGAGAAGUCAUGACAUGAAGAGGUGAAGGAGGUGCAUGCAUUUUAUCACCAUAGAUUUGACAUUUAUGGAACUUCUUGGAAUAAUUGAUGCAAUCCCCUUCCAUGGUAGACCAGUAGUACCCGAAUCUCAUAAUCUGCCUAGCCAUUGUGAACCCGCUGGCAUGCGUUCCGCAGAUGCCCUCAUGGACUUCUUCUAGAAUUUUCUUUGCUUCUACGGCGUCCACACAUCUUAGCAGUACCUGAUCUUUUCCCCUCUUGUACAAGAUCUCCCCAUCUAAGACGUAGUCAAUGGCUAGUCUUCUCAGAGUUCUCUUUUCAUUCUCCGUUGUCUGGCCAAGAUACUCACGAUUUUUUACAUACCGUAGUAUAUCUUGAUACCAAGGACUAUCAUCGAUUUCCCCUUCUUCAAUAUUGUAACAAUGAGCCGGGUCUUCAUAGAUACUCAUUUGGAUUGGUUUCAUAUCCCCAUUUCUGUUCAGUUUGAUCAUGGAAGCUAAGGUAGCUAGUGCAUCAGCCAUCUGGUUCUCAUCUCGUGGGAGAUAGCAAAAAGUGAUGUCCUCAAACUCCUUAAUCAAUUCGAGGACCAACUUUCGGUAACUGAUUAAUUUGGGAUCUCUCGUUUCCCAUUCACCCCUGAGCUGAUAUAUCACCAAUGCUGAAUCUCCAUAGACCUCUAGCACUUUGAUUCCUCGCUCUAUAGCUGCACGAAUACCCAUGAUGCAUGCUUCAUAUUCUGCCAUGUUAUUUGUACAAUCAAAAUCCAAUUUACAAGUGAAAGGAUAAUGAUCACCAUUUGGGGACACCAGGACUGCCCCAAUUCCAUUGCCUACAGCGUUCGAGGCUCCAUCAAAGUUUAGCUUCCAACUGUGACCUUCUUGGGGACUUUCUUCAGUAGCGGCUACACACAUCAGGUCCUCAUUUAGGAAAUCAAAACUCAACAGCUCGUAGUCCUCCAGAGCUCUACUAGCUAGAAAGUCAGCAAUUGCACUCCCUUUCACAGCCUUUUGGUUCACAUAGACAACAUCAAAUUCAGACAAUAAAAUUUGCCAUCGGGCCAUUCUCCCAUUCAAAGCAGCUGACUCCAUCAUAUACUUUAACGGGUCUAACUUUGAGAUCAGCCAAGUCGUAUGGUAUAACAUGUACUGCCUUAAUCUUCGGGUUGUCCAAAUCAAGGCACAGCAUAAUUUCUCAAAUAGGCGAAUAUCUCAUUUCACAGUCAGUGAAUUUCUUGCUGAGAUAAUAUAUCGCUCUUUCUUUCCUCCCCGUUUCAUCAUGUUGACCUAACACACACCCCAUGGAAUUGUCAAAUACCGUUAGAUACAAUAUCAGAGGCCUAUCCGGGUUAGGUGGUGACAGCACUGGAGUAUUAGACAAAUACUGUUUCACUUUGUUGAAAGCUUCCUCGCAUUCCUCAUCCCAAGUACCAGGAUUAUGUUUCUUCAGAAGACGAAAUAUAGGGUCACAUUUCUCAGUCAGUUGUGAAAUAAACCUAGCGAUGUAAUUCAGUCUUCCUAGGAAACCUCGAACUUCUUUCUGAAUGCGAGGUGAAGGUAAAUCUCGUAUUGCCUUGACUUUGUCUGGGUCAAUCUCGAUUCCCUUUUCACUGACUACAAAGCCUAGCAACUUUCCUGACCUGGCCCCAAAAGUGCACUUCGCUGGAUUAAGCUUGAGUUAGAACUUUCUCAAUCUUAAGAAUAACUUUCUCAAGACCCACACAUGUUCGCCCUCUGUUCUAGAUUUCGCGAUCAUAUCAUCAACAUAAACCUCGAUUUCCCUGUGCAUCAUGUCAUGGAACAAGGCUACCAUGGCUCUUUGGUAUGUCGCUCCUGCAUUCUUCAAUCCAAACGGCAUCACUUUGUAACAGAACGUCCCCCAUAACGUAAUGAAUGUAGUCUUCCUCAUGUCUUCAGGAUGCAUCUUUAUCUGAUUGUACCCAGAAAAACCAUCCAUGAAGGAAAACAGUGAAAAGCCCGCAGUAUUGUCUACCAAUGUGUCAAUGUGAGGCAAUGGGAAAUUAUCCUUUGGACUAGCCUUGUUCAAAUCCCGAUAAUCCACACACAUUCGUACUUUUCCAUCNNNNNNNNNNNNNNNNNNNNNNNNNNNNNNNNNNNNNNNNNNNNNNNNNNNNNNNNNNNNNNNNNNNNNNNNNNNNNNNNNNNNNNNNNNNNNNNNNNNNCUUGCAGAAACCCGGCAUCAAACUGCUUUUGGACCUCCUCCUUUUAUCUUCAACACGAUAUCAGGCCUCAUCCUUCUGAGUUUUUGCUGCACUGGCUUGCAAUCUUCUCUUAUAGGGAGACGAUGGACUACCAUGUCGGUACUCAACCCCGGCAUAUCCUGGUAUGACCAUGCAAACACGUCUUUGAACUCUCGGAGUAAUUCAAUGAGGUCCUGCCUUGUCCUUUCAGAGAUAACCGAUCUGAUCUUCACCUCUUUACCCUCCUCUAAGCUCACGACUUCUAUUGAUUCCCUGUGAGGUAGGAUUUAUUUCUCGGCCCUUUCUACCAUCUUUGACAAGUCAGGAGACAAACCACAGUCUUCGUUGUCUUCAAAAUUAUGCGAUCCCUCUAAACACAUGUUUCGUUCAAAAGGAGACUCUAAAUUUGUAAGAGUGACAUUCGCAUCAUUGAUAUCAUGGGACCUGUUAUAAGUAUGAAAAACAAUAUGGAUUCAGGAAUUUGUUUGGUGCAAUAUGGUCAUGAAUGAAAUGCAAGUGUAGUUUAAGAGAAACUUAAAAUAACUGCUCUUAUGGGAAGAAAGAUUUGCUCCAAAAAUGAUUGCAAACAUGAACUUUAUUAAAAUAACGAUUUUCUGGACAUGAGCCUAUUUCACAAAGGAAUCCUUAUCACUUCUAGGCUAAAAGGCAAUAAGGGUGUUCUGGACAUUACUCUGGGGAAAUCCUAAAAACUACAGGUAUUUCUUCUGCAGUCCAGUUGUUUAGCUCCCUUUCCGACUCGUAAGGACGAAUAUCUGGCAAAGCUCUUCCUCGCGUCACUUCUUCAUACACAACAUGAAUACUCUCUAGCUCCAUGUUAAUACUUCUGACCCCUAGCAUUCUUUGAUAGGUGAAUCCUCCCGGUACAAAAGUCUUGGAUAGGUGAGGAAAGGUCAUGGGUUCCCAUUUGACUUCAUCACCUGUCAAGCGAGCCCUUCUCCGCACUCGCUUAUUUUCCUGCUCUAUCCUCUUCUGCCUAGCAUCUGGCUUGUAUUCUAAGCCAAAACGAUCCUGCUUGUCUUUCAACACUAGAGCCUCAACUCGGCCCUGAAGAUAUCUCCCCAAUCCUCUUCUCGGUAAUGCUCCCUUUCCAACAGUCAACUGCAGACCCAUCUCUGUGGUCCUGGAUAUUCUCGGCAUCGGGAUCUUGUUUCCCUCACGGAUGAAUGUUGCAUUUACAAACUCCAAGGAACGAAAAGAGCAUUCGAUUGGAUCAUCGCUCGUUUCUAGAUAAGUCGCAUCGUUGGUCACAGAUGCAAUGAUAUCUUCUUCAGCAUCUAUCGUCACAACCCUGCCUUCUGACACCAGCUUCAGUUUUUGAUGUAACGAUGACGGUACCGCACCUGCUGAAUGAAUCCAUGGCCUUCCUAAUAGGCAACUGUAAGAAGGCUUGAUGUCCAUAACUAAGAAGUCCACCUCAUAAAUAGUUGGGCCAAUUAACAAGAGAAUGUCAACUCUUCCCAUGACCCUCCUCUCAGUACCAUCGAAUGCUCGAACCACGUUCUGACACGACUUCAUAUGCGAACUAUCCACAGGUAGCCUGUUGAGCGUGGAUAGGGGAAAUACAUUUAAUGCCGAUCCAUUGUCUACCAGAACCCCCGGUAAUAUGCACCCUUUACACCUUGCAAUGAUGUGUAAAGCUCUAGUGGAUCCCAUACCCCCAGGUGGUAUUUCGUCAUCGCUGAAAGAGAUGAAGUUAUCAGCGCUUAUAUUACCGACCAGUCGAUCCAACUUGUUAAUAGAGAUAUCAUCGGCCACAUAAGUUUCAUUUAGCACCUUCAGUAGUGCAUUCUGAUGUCCCUCCGAGUUCAGGAGUAAAGCUAGCACAGAUAUGCGAGCUGGUUGUUUGUGCAGCUGUUCCACAACGCUGUACUCGCUAUGUUUUAUGAACUUCAAGAACUCUCUAGCUUCCUCCUCCUUGAUUGGUUCAUUGACCACCAAUUCAGGUUCGACCGUCUUCUUCUUCUUUCCAAUCAGAGUUUCUUCUCUUAUUGGCUCUACUCGAGCCUUCACCUGUUCGUUAUACCCUCCUUCAUCAUGGUCCUCCUUCCCUGGGAUUGUCACAUUACAAUUGUAAUGCCAAGGAACCCUCCUGUUAUCCUUGUAAGUAAACGCAGUCGGUUUUUGAAUGAUAACCCUUGGUGCUACUCGUGCUCCAGCCUCACUAUUCUUAGGUUGUGAGAUGAUGACCACAGGAUGGUUAACCUUUGGAACUCCCAAUGCCAACUCUGACGUACAUACAUGACUCUCUUUCUGAAUUCCUUCCCAAAAUUCCAUCUCUUUAUUAUCUAUCAUACCCUGUACCACGGCUCUGAACUCCGUACACUCCUGGAUUUCAUGCCCCAUUUCACAGUGGAACUCACAGUAGUUCCUCCUCUUCUCACAGCUUUCUUCUGAAGGAAUUAGCCCCCUUUUCACCAUCUCUUUCCAGACCCAUCUCAAAGGAGUCUUCACGUCCGCAAUGUCUACCUUAAUUCUCAUGUCUUCGUCCAUCAUAUUUACCCCACCAUCAGUGUGAUUUGGUAAUGGGUUCUCUGCCUUGGUGGCUUCAUCAAAUUUAACGACACCCAUACCAAUGAGCCUUUCAACCAGCUUCUUGAAGGCCGUACAGUUUUCUAUGGAGUGCCCCGUGAUUCCCGCAUGAUAGUCGCACUGUGCAUUUGCGUCGUACCAUUUGGGGGACGGGGGCUGUAAGGGCUUCAGAUAGAAAGGGGAAACUACAUGUGCGUCGAAUAAGUUUCGGUAUAAUUCCCUGUACGACAUGGGAAUUGGCGUGAAUUGGGGCCUCUCCGUAUUUCGCCUUGUACCGACCUUCUGUCUCGACAAGCUUUGUUGAUUGGCAGCCGUCUUUCCUGGCUGACUCACUGUUACUGACUUCGAGUAACCCUUGUUGUACAUGCUCACGUUGUUCACCUCGUUUUCCUUCCUUUUCGAAGCUGAUCUUCUGUUACUCUCUCCAGCAUCGAUCUUCCCACUCCUGAUGGUGUUCUCAAUCAUCUCGCCAUUCAUGACUAUGUCAGGAAAGCUUUUUGUGGCACUUCCUAACAUAUGUGUAAUGAACGGUGCCUUCAGGGUGUUAAUGAACAACAUGGUCAUUUCCUUUUCCAAGAGCGGUGGUUGAACUUGGACCGCGACCUCCCUCCAUCUCUGUGCGUACUGCCUAAAGCUUUCGCUCGGCUUCUUCUCCAUGUUUUGAAGGGUGAUCUUAUCAGGAGUCAUGUCUGUCACAUGACUAUAUUGUUUCAUGAAUGCUUGCGCCAAGUCCCUCCAUGAACCAAUCGUAGCUCGACUCAACUGAUUGUACCACUUGGAUGCUGCCCCUGCAAGGCUGUCUUGGAAGUAAUGUAUUAAUAGCUGGUCAUUACUAACGUAUCCAGCCAUUCGCCUGCAGAACAUGGUGAUAUGAGCCUCUGGGCAAGUCGUCCCAUUGUACUUCUCGAAUUCAGGCAUCUUAAACUUAUGAGGGAGAACAAGAUCCCGCACUAAACUCAGCUCUUUUGCGUCAAUGCCUCGAUAGCUUUCAGUAACUUCCAUCGCCUUGAACUUCUCCUCAAGCCACUUGCAUCUCUCUUCCAACUGUCUCGGUAACUCCUCCUUCACUCUUUCCUUCUCAACUACUUCAUCAAAGUCAGGAAUGGCAGAGUUAAUAGGAUUAUUUUCGGGAUUAAAACACGGCCCAGUUUGGAGGUUCGAAACACCAGCUUGAAAUUGCUGAGGCAUGAUUGUGACAGUAGAUUUGCGCGGGUAUUCAUCUUGAGUUCGCUCAUGUGGAGGGGUGAAACCUGGAGGAUAGAAAAGUUCAUCAUCAUUUCCCUCAUCGACAUCUGCCAUGGGGCCCUUUCCUUUGUCACCUCCCUUAGUUAUCAGUCGGGUUAACUUUGCCACUAUAUCCUCUUGAGAUUCCCGCAUCUUCUCAGACAUUUCUUGUUUCAUCUUGUCUAACCGCUCCUGCAUUUGUAGCUGAAUCCAGUCUUGCAUCUCCUUCUGGUACUGUUCGAGCUUUUCUAAUCUCUGAUCCAUAUCUCUUGUCUUUGUUCGAGUGCCGUAUCGGUGUUGGAUUGGUUGGUUGGUUUCCAGGUUAACUGAGCAAUAAUUUUAAUUAAUUAGGAUCAAUUCAAAGUUUUGAAUGCAUAUGAUGCGAUGCAUGAGAUGAAUGCAAGAAAGGCGUUAAUUAUGAUUCAAUUCCACUUGGAAAACUUUAUUAGAAAACAAAUCUCUUUACAUAGAAUAGACUACAAAUACGACUUCGCCCUAAUACUUAAGACCUUGAUUUUUUGAAGCAACGAGGCUAACUCCCGUCCCCGGUCUGACUCCAAUUCAUACUUUACGCUCAACGUGUCAGCUUGUACUGCCAGAGUUUGUAAGUGAUCAGCUACUUCUCGAAUCUGAACCAAGGCUUGUCCCAUAACACGAUCCCUGCUUCUGACCUAAUUCUGGAGAUAGUGAAGCUGUUCGCUUUGAUGAUCUUUGUUUGCCUCCAAAUACUCAAUCCUGGCUUCACAGUUCUGCAAUGCCACCUCUAGUUCUUCUAUAGUUUUCUUCAUUUGCUCGAUUCUACUUAAACUUGCUUGCAGUUCCACCACUGAAUUACGAUUUCGGUAUUGAUGAACAAUCUUCUCAAGUUCGGCCACUCUAGCCCUUAGUUUAUCCCUUUCAUCUUGAUUUUCUGACAAACUCUUCUCAAGCGAUCUAUUUUGCAUCUGGGCUUCUUGGAAUCUUUCUUCCCAUCUGCCAGCCUUGGCUUUUUCUUCUUGAACCUCUUGACGCCACUGCUCUGAGGUUUUUCCCAACCCAGCAGUUCUUACUGACAGACGUAGUCUCUUAUAAUCCGUCUUCAAGCUGUUCAAAUCUUCCUCGACUUUGCGCUUCCCUUUUCUCAGGCCUUCGGUUUCCUGCAUUUGAACAUCUAUGUCCAACUUUAAAUUCACCUUUUCCUCCUCCAUUUUCUCUAUUUUCUUCUCUAAUUCUGCAUUCCUUCUUUCGAGGUCUUAAUUUAUGAUUUCCAGCUCAGAAGGGACGACGCACAAAUGCUCCUCUAUCGACUGACUAUUUUCUGAACUUGGCCCGGGAAUGUUGUCAUUAAUCCUCCUAACACGCCAUUCGUUAUAUUCAGAAGUUGUCAUUGGACCCACGGCUAAUCUCUUCAUUCGGCGAGUCUGAUUCCACGCAUUGGCCAUCUCACGAGCCUUCCUUUUGUAGCCAUCAUCCUUAUAUGAGAAUUCACACUCAGCUAGUCCUUGAGUGGCAGGCACAAACUGUCUUGACCUGUACUGUCUUAACACUAGCAAUGGGGCAUAACCAACAGCUCCCCAAAUCCCGAGCAACGGAACCCAGUCGAAAUCGCCACACCUAUAUAGGAUCUCAUCUGGAAGCAACCACGGAGCUCUCCACUCGAUAUCUUCUUCUUGCAGAUUCUGAAAGAUUGCCAUCCAUUUCUCCUCUGUAAUAUCAUCUCUCCUUGAUGCAGCCACUAUCUCUUUCAACGGUGAAUAACUUUCAGAGAAGACCUGAUAUGAAACCUUAUCAACCUUCCAAAAGUGGCUAUGGAACCACCCAAGUAAUAACUGCGCACAUCUAAAAAAUCUGCCCUCUCCCGUUCUUCGGCAUGCAUUUAAUGACCUAAAGGUUUCUGCCAAAAUCACCGGAACUGGCGUAACUCCCUUGUCAAGCCGGUCGAAUAAAUCAGUGACCGCCUAAUCAACAUGUCCCAAAAUCUUAGGAAACAAGAUUAGACCAUAUAUACUUAGAGCAAAGACGUCCACUUUCUUCCUCGCAUCUGGGUGUGCUAAAAUGAGGUCCUUCAAGUUUUUCCAAGGAAUACACCUACUAUCCCCUUUUUGCUUAAUCCGAGCUGUAACCCACUACUCAUUUAUCCCUGUUAUACUCAUCAACUUCCUCAAGAAGGUUGGUACAUUCACCGCUUUCGAAUAAAUUCUAUCCACCUGUACCUUCGAACACCGAAGUAAAGCCGUGUACUCCUCUAUUGUAGGCACUAGGUCAACCUUUCCGAAUGUGAAGCAACUGUACGCCGGAUUCCAAAACUGGGCAAGAGCUCGAAACAGACGGUUGUCUACCUUCAUGUCAAGUAAAUAAGGUAAAUCCCCAUAAUUUGAAUAGAAUAGCUGUCUAACCUCAUUAUCCCAUUGAUCCCAAAUCUCCUUCAAUUCCUGCAAGUUGUUCUGAGCUACGCUAACACGAGUGAAGUCCCAUAACUCUGAUACGUAUCCCACGGCCAAACUAUCACCUUUUUCAUGCUGUAUCUUCUCAGACCAAGUCCGGACAGCCGUAUUGUCUUCCACUCUAUCAAGAAACCCAUUUCCCAUGAUAAACUUUCUAUAUGGCAACCGAAUAUGAACCAACGCCUUUAUAAUGAAAUGUCAUGCAAUUAUGAUGUCAUGCAAUCAAAACAAAAGAAACCCAAGUUAGUAUCACAUAUAAAAAUAUAAUCCAAACAAGAACACUUAUUUAGGAAUCUACUAGGGUUCAGUAUAGUUCUCCCUAGGGCAAGUUCCUAAAGCUCACUAUAUGAGGUUUAGUUUCUAGAGUAAGGGUACCCGAACCAACAGAUUCCUCGAUCCUCACCCAUUAUAGGCUCAUACAGAUCGAGUUCAGUUCAGGGGGACACAUUUCCCUAUGGCUGCACGGAGAUGAAAAUCUCACGAAGACAUAGGUACGAAUGUAUCCCGGAAGCAGUCCACUAUCCUGCACGGAGGUGAAAACCUCACGAAGGACUAGUUUCUCGCUCCCACUUAAGGGUAAAAUGCAAAAUGCAAAUGCAAAGUUGCCAAAGUUCCAUGAUAAAAUAUCAAUGAGUGCAAAGGGAAAAUUUUUAAAAACUUUUUGAUUUUCGACACAAAAACAAAUAUGAUCAGUUUAUGGCUCGACUCUCUAUGUCCCCAGCGGAGUCGCCAAGCUGUCGAAACCGUUUUUUGAAAACAAAAAUUUUAGUUGUCGACUUAAAAAAAACAAAAACUGGAGUCGCCACCGAUCCUUUAUUAAGGUGUGAUCGGCCCACCUUAAAAAUAAUUUUGGUCUGCGAAAUUCGAGAAAAUAGGCUCGGGAGUCAGUUACGCACGAGGAAGGAUUAGCACCCUCGUAACGCCCAAAAUUGGUACCAAAUUGAUUUUUUUUAAUGCCUUGGUGUCGAAAAUUUGAAAAGAUUUUAAAAGGAAACUUUUUAUUUCAUGAAUGGAUUAAAAUAAAAAGACAUUCGUAUUUCAAAGAAAUAAAACACCACACCCAGUGAGUUAGGGCACAAUGUUUUUAAAUCUUCAAAAUACCCGAAUAUUGCCUUUUGCUUUUGAAAAUUCUUAUUUCGAGAAGAAAAUGUCAUGACCAGUAAGUUAGGACCCAACAUUUCGAAUUCCCGAGAAUAAGUUUUUAUUUAAAAUUUGAAUUUAUUGCAAAACAAAUAUUUGGCUUUCUAAACUCAUCGAAAAAUAAUCGCGAUCCAAUAAGUUAGGACACGAUCUUUCACGAGAAUCAUGAAUACUAAAUAUUUUGGAAUUUAUAAAAUAAGAUGAUUUAAAUACUUUGAGAAAACAUAUAUUUUCUUUNNNNNNNNNNNNNNNNNNNNNNNNNNNNNNNNNNNNNNNNNNNNNNNNNNNNNNNNNNNNNNNNNNNNNNNNNNNNNNNNNNNNNNNNNNNNNNNNNNNNCACAAGUAAAUUUGAAAAUAUGUGCAUGCGUAUGUUUAACACACAUACACAAAUAUACAUAAAAAACAUGCAUAGCAUAACUUAUAAUAAUCUCCAAAAAUAUGUACGUAUAUUUCAUAAAACAUGCAUAUGUACAAAAAAAAUAGAAAAAAAAUGCAUAUGCCUUGUAAAAUAUGAGAGUACAUACAUAUAUAUAUAUAUAUAUACAUAUUUAUUUAUAAAAACUAUGUAAACAAAAUAUAUAUAAAAUAUGAGCGUAUAAGGACUAAAAUAUGUAUGUAAGCAUAUAUAUAUAUAUGAACGUAAAACUAUGAGAAUAAAAUAUAAAAACGUGUGGAUGUGUACAUGUUUAAAAAAAUGUAUAAACACAUAUAUAUAAAAUAUAAGGUAUAAAAAUAUAAAGGAUAAAAGAUAGAAUAAAGGAAAUAAAAUGUAUGUAAAACGUAUGCAUGCAUUUUAAAGCUUAAGGAUGUAUAUAUGCUAGAAAUGAAAACAUGAAAAGUGAAUAAUAAAAGUUAUACGUUUGUAAAAAACGAAAUAUAAAACAAUAUGUAUAUACACGUACAUGAAAAUCAUAAAUGGAAUUAGUGUAAUAAUAAUAGUAAUAAUAAACGUGUAACAGUAUAUUAAAAAAAGAAAAAAAACUAAAUAAAGUAAAGAAAAGACCAAAUUGAAUAAAAAAACCAAAAAAAUAGGGGCAAAUUCGAAAAUAAUAAAAAAGGGAUGAAUUCGAACACGCGAGCGGCAAUGGGGGACCAAAAGAGCAAUUUACCCAGGCCUCCAAAACGCUGCGCUGAAGGGGACUGAAUUGAAACGUGAAUUGAAUAUGCGGCCCAAUUUUAAAACAAAAAAAAAGAUUUAAUUGACAUGCGCUGCAAAAGGGAGGGGUCAAAUGCACAAAUAACCCAUAUGACGUUAGAACGCGCGGAUCCUCCCCUCCGGGUCGGGUCACCGCGCGAGUCACACUUGACCAAAACGACGCCGUUUUGAAUGUUGUUUAAAACAAAAAUUUUCCUUCCAAAAAAAUCCAUUUGAAAUCGAAUGGGAAAAAAAAAAAGAAACUCCGGCGCUCUGCUAGGGUUCAAUCCCUAGCGUCCUUGCGCCGCCACUCAAUCGGCCCUCUCACCAAACUCCGAUCACGACAGAGAUGGCGGUGGCACGGCGUUUUUAGGUAUGUUUUCCUCCCUUUUUGUUAUUUCAAAUGAAAUAAAAUGAAAAUAAAGAAAAAAAUGUAAAAACGAUAAACACUUUUAACAAUAAAAAAGAAAUCACCUUUAAAACAAAACAAGUUUUUUUCUGCUUUUAUUCCCGAUUCUCUCCGUCAAAAAUCCGUCCUUUUUACAGAUAAAAGUCGGCCUUUUAUAGCCUGAAAACCUAUUUGUUUUACACUAUAUUUUCGCUAAUGGACUCUCUGAAUCCGUGUUUGCAGGUGCGUGGAGAGUGGAGGCCGAAACGUGCGGAGGCUGCAGGAGGCUGUUGCGGCGCUGGGCAUGGGCUGCUGAGGCUUGCGGCGCUGAAGCAGAGAGGCUCUAGGGUUUCUGCUUUCAACGUUUUUGGUGUAUUGGGCUUGAACGGCCCAUUUUUGUUUUGUAAAUGGUCUGGGCCAAUUGGGCCUUAUUACACGUAUUAUAUAUAUAUAUAUAUAUAUAUAUAUUAUAAACCAAUGGCUAAAAAUUUUUCUAAUCCUUCUAGCUUUCUUUAUAUGAGAGUCGUUAAAUUUUAGUUUUGAUUCGUAUACUUUGCUCAAAUUUUAAAUUUAAUCUAUAUACUUUAAUUUUUCAUAAUUUAAUUUCUCAUCCUUUUUAAUAUCAUUAGUUAAUUUAAAUAUUUUAUUCCAAAAACUUGAAAUAUAAUAAUUUAAUUAAAAGAAUAAAUAAUCAACACGAAGCAUGGGUGAGAAUCAUAAAUCAUGCAUGACUUCUAUCAUUAAGUAUCCUUAGCAGUCUUUUUAAGCUGUUAUUAUUAUAUUAUUAUUUUAUUCGUGCAUUGAAAUUAAAUCAAAUCCGAAUAUAAUACGUAAUUUCUUUUUGACCGGUCCAAGAUUAAGUUUAAUAAAAUCUAUUUGCUGUAUAUUUAUUAUUAAGAAACAUUGGUCUUAGUACGUCUCCUUUAGAAUAUUUACACUUAAUUCGCAUUAAAUAUAAAAUAUGAUUAUAAUUAUUUAAAUUCUUUUGUUUGGAAAGGAUAAAAUAUGAAUAUUUACACUUGAAAAGUAUUUUGUUUAAUAGGUUGGUUUGUCUUAAUUUUGAAUAUGGAAAUUAAGUUAUCUUGGAAAAGGAAGUUACAUGAGAGAAAAACUUGUUAAUCCUUAGAAUUUUCAGCAUUUUUAUAGUAAUUUUGAAAUGGUUAAUAUUAUUGUUGAGUAUGACUUAUAGUUAAAUUUAAGAGAUAAUCUCUUAGUUAAACUCUGUUUAUUUGUUUCAGUUAAAUUUUGAUUAGUCUAGAUUAUUUUAUUAUUAUUUGACCUACGAAUUUAGCCUAUAAAUAGGAUCUUUUACAACAUUAUAAAAAACACCCAUUAAAAUAUUAGAACUCAUAACACUUUUGGAGAAUUUUGUAUUUACAUUUUGAGGGUUCUUUUUUUUAGGUUUCGGGGUUUAGUUUUUAUCUUCAUCUUUUGUAAUUUUUAUUUUUUUGUCAUUAUAGUAAAAUUAUCUUUAUCCGUGGUUUUUUAUCCUCUUUGGAGGGGUUUUUUUCACGUUAAAUUUGUGUGUUCAAUUUCUCAAUUGCUUCCGCUAUUUUUUACUUGUUUGUUGCUUAAUCGGAUCAAUUCCCAACAAUCAUCAUAUAAUAUUUUUUAUAUGUUGCUAGUGAAUUGAGGACAUAUUUCUAAAAUUUAAAUGAAUUUUUUCUUUUGUAUUCUUUAUAUUCAUUUUACGGUAAUGCAUCACAUAUAAAUCCAUUUUAAAUUGAAAUCCAUGUUUUAUCAUUUACAUUAUCUUAUAUUAUUUUGAGCUAAUUCAAUCAAUUGUCUCUAAAUUAUUGUCAAUAUUUUUAAGGUAUAAUGUCAAAUUGUUUACAUCUUUUUUCAGUUUGGUUCUUAUUCUUUUUUGAGUUAUAAAUUUGGCCCUCAAUUUUUUUUAAAAAAUUGUCAAAUCACUUUUUAAUGAAAAUAUUCAUUAAAACCUUAUUUUUUAACGAUGUUGGUAUGUCAACCCGUGUGGUAAUCCACGUGUACUUCAUGCUAACAUGACACUUUAUCUUAUAUAUCACACCAAGAAAUAAUUUAAAUUAUAAAAAAUUCCAAAAAAAAACGAGAGCAUGAAGUACAUGUGGAUUGCUAUGCGAGCUGUCAUGUCUAAAAACCUAAUGUUUAGCUAAUAUUUCCGUUAAAAAAAUAACAAUUUAAUUUUUUUUGAAAGGUUGAUGGUCAAAUAUGAUUUUUUUUUAAAGGUCGUGAGCCAAAUUGAUAAAAAAAAAUGUAAACAUUAAGGGAUAAAUUUGACAUUAUGCCAAUUCUUAAUUAGUUUUAAACUUCAAAAUAUGUUAUUGACAUGGUAUCAAAUAGGUUUUCCAUUAGCAUAGUAGUUAAUUUAAGUGUUAAAUGUCAAUUAGGAUAUAAUGUGGAGCCUACUUAAAACAUGAAUUAAAUUGUAAAUUUGAGUAUUGUCACUUCCCAAAAAUAAGGCUAGAAGAAAUAGGGAUAAAAUUUAGAUUUUAUUUUUUUAAGCAUAGGGUAAAAGAAUUUAGAAUGCCUUAAAAAUUAUUUUUGAUAAGAAAUUAACAAGAAUUAGUCUACUAGUUCAUUGGUAAGGCCUUAGCUUUCUCUUGGGUCUCAAGUUUGAAAUCUCUUGUUCACCUUUCAAGCAAAAUAUUUUAUUUUCUUAUUUUUACCCCAUAAAAGUGCCGAAUUUUCAAACUAGCCCAAACCAAAAAUUGUUAUUUUCUAAUUUAGUCCUUAAUUUAAAAUAGUCUUGCUUCUCCAUGGAAUCCUAAAACCUAUUUCAAUUAGGGAAAAAGAGUUUUAUAAUUAGGAAAUCUUUUCAAAACUCUAGAAAUUUUAUCUAGUGAAUUUUUCAAGGAAAACUCUCAAGUUCUUCAUUUUCUCCAUCAUUACCAAACCAAUUUUCAAGCAAAGAAAUCCAAGGUUUCCAAAAUCGUCCCUCUCCUCCCAAGUAGACCAUCAUUCUCCUCAUCCAAAUUAAGGUUUUUGUGUCUUCGAAUCAGGUGUGGGAUCUAAACAUAAAUCAUUAUAUAUGAUUAACUGUAGUGUUAGGAAGUAAUAAGACUGCUAUGCAACCCCUCAUGUUAUGCGAACCCCCUUGCAUGUGCGAGCCCUGUGUGUGAUCCCCGUGUGCAAAACCCCCUAUGUGUGAGCUUGUGAGCGAACCUCUAUACGCGAACCCCUAUAGAUGAACUAUAGCUUGUAUAUACAUAUGCAAACCCUCAUGAUUUUUAGUAUAGGAUUUAAGUUGCAAACCCUAUAUAUAUUACGCGAGGCAUAUAUAUCAUGCGCACCCUAAACAUACUUUGCGAGCUUUAUAUAACAUGCAAACCCUAGGUAAUAUGUGAAUCGAGUAUAUCAUGCAAACCCUAGGUCCUAUACGAGCUAUAUAUAUCAUGUGAACCAAAGCUUGCAUAUCAUGAAAAUCCUAGGUACUAUGCGAACCCCCUGUGUUACAAACCCCCUGUAUGUCCGAACUCUGUUAGGCGAACUGAAGCAUAUGUGCGAACCCUACAUGUACGAACCCCUAGGUGCAAACCCUACAUGCGCUAACCCAUAUGUGCAAUCCUAUAUGUGCGAACCCUGUAUGUGCAAACCCUGCUUAUGUAUGUGUUAGCCGAACUAAGAAUGUUAAUAUGCAUGAAGAUAUUGUAUAUGUGAAAUUGUUUUAGAUCGCUUAAAUUAAUUGUAUAUGUGAAAUUGAUGGGAAUGGAUGAAUGAUCACAUGCCAUUAAAUGAUAGUAUGAAAUAUCAAAUGAAGCAUUGAAAGAUGAUAAAUAGCAUAAUAUGCUAAUUGUAUGUGCAUAAUUACAUGAAUUUAGGUAAGAAGGUCGAAGGAGUUCCAUAGGAGAUAGUGGCAAUUCAAGUCCACACCAAAAGUCAGUAUUGCACAGAGUAGGUGGCUAUGUCAUCAAAACUGGAUAAAUCAGGAUGAUAGUUUAAAAAGCCAUAAAAAAUCGGGUAACUGAGAUGGUAAGUUAUUGUUGUAAAAGUCAUCGUCACAUAUGACAAGUGAACGACCAUCGUCAUCGGAAAUCAAAUCCGAGAUGGUUAGUUUUUUUUAUGUGUUUUGGUGUGUCGAGCGAUGCUUGAUGGCGAUUAAGAUGGACAGGUUGGAAAUUAAAUUUAUAAUUGCAUUUGCAUCAUGAAUAAACUAUAUAUGCAUUGAAUCACUACAUGUUCCUUACAUCAGCUUAACUUGUAUUAUGCUUGAUUUGUUAUUAUGCUAUAAAUUAAAUUCUAUAUUAUUUGAAUGAUUAUAUAUAACGGUUUAAAAAUUAGACUCACACUGAGCUAUCAUAAGCUCACCCCCCAUUUCUUUACCUCUUAGGUAAUGCAGGAAACUAGGUCUCGGAAUGGCAUAAGAAGAACCUCGAAUUAGCAACUUGUUUUGGUUUUAUUUAAAAGUUUCAUUAAAAGUUUUCCUUAAUAAUUUAUUUUUGGGUUUGUAAUUAUUAAGUAUUUUCUCGUUUUUAUAUCAUAGGUUUGGGAUUUGUUUAGCUUAUUUAUUUUAAGCAUGUCAUUUGAUUAUUACUCUAAUAUUUGCAUGCUAUUCAGUAUAGGAAACUAUUAUUCUAAAUGUUUUCUGCUGCUUUACAAAAUACUUAAAGUUUUGAUAGGUCUUUUCUUAAAAACUUAAAAGUCGUUUUCUUAAAACUUCAUAUCAAUUAUACUGUAGAUGAACUAAUAAGUCAAAUUGGUUUAAUGAAUGAAUGUUUUUCUAAAAACAAAAGAGUAUUUCCAUACAAAUCAAACGCAUCUAAAAAGAACGGUUUUACAGGAUCACUUCGGUGAUCGAAUGUAAUGCCUUUGACUUAGCCGAAACUCCUAGGCCAGGUCGAGGAUGUUACAUAUAUAUAUAACUACGACAUGAAAAACCUGGAUUUGACGUAUUAAAAACUAGUAUCAAUUAAAUUUUAUCUAUGCAAUAGAUAUAUAUGUUUUUUAUAAUUUGAUCUACGAAUUUUAAAUAUAUUUCAUCUCAAAUUUGAGUUGGCAUUUAAUGCCUAAACUAAUUGUUGAAUUAAUAAAAGGACUUAAUUGAUAUGAUAUGAUAAUUUGAGAACUAAAUUAAAACAUUUUAAAAAUUAAAGAUGAAUUUAAAAUCCCAUAAUUUGAGAACAUUGCGUCUAAUGUGUUUAUGGUGAAUUGUAAACAAAUCCUUGGUCAAACCUGACAUGCUCUAUAAAAAUCCAUGAAAAAUCAGUUGUAAAAAGGUAGAAAAGAAAGGCAAAUACUUUCAGAUGCUUAACCGACUUCAUUCAAUUUUUAUUUUCAUAUAAAAAAUACUUAAUAUAUUUAAUAUAUAUUUGAUGGUUGAAUUUUUUACAUAAAAUAAAUUAAAUUUAUAUAAAAUUUGUUAUGCAUAAUUUAAAGGAAUAAACCAUAAAACAUAAUGGUUUUAUCGUUAAAAUAUUAAUUAUAUAAAUAAUUAUAAAAGUGUAUAAAAUUACUUUAAUUUUUAUUAAUUUUUAAUUUCUUCGUUAUUAUUUUUAUUAAUUUUUUUUAAAAAAAUUAUAAAAUAUUUGAUGUUUAGAAUUUUAAGAAUGAUACAUAUAAACAAUUUCUUUUCUUAGUUUUUAAAUUCAUCCAUUUAAAAACAAUUCUGAUAUCCUAAAGAGAGUGGGUCAAAUAAGUAACAAAUUUAUUUAUUUUAAAAUGCUAACAAGUAAACAAAUACAUUUGAUCACUAAGGAUUAAAAGAAACAUGACAAACAUUUUUUAAAGUAAAAUUUUAAAACUUUAUAUCAAAAUAAGUCAGUAUUUUGAAUACUAUAGAGUCGUAUUGUUCUUUCUUUCCAAUCAUAUUUCCUAGGAAAUUAAUAUAAGAUUACUGGUCAAAAGUUUUGUGAAGAGUAUGUCAAAAGCAGAGAAAAGAAUAAAUAUCAUUCAUGCCCUCAAACAUUUUGAUCGAACUGCAAAAGUUUAAAGUAAAUAGAGGAUAUUUAAACCUUUUUUACAGACAUCAACUUUGAAUCAAAAGAAUCAAACAAAAGACAAAUCAACAUUUCUUUUAAUCUAUUUGUAUUUCUCAUGCACUUUGUUUUCUUGAAUUUAAGUUCUCCUUUUUUGACUUCAAAUAUCACCACUAUUUUUCUUACCUAUAAAUACAUGCAACAAUUGCACUCUUAUCCUCACACAAAUUCUGUGCCAAAUUUCAAGAGCAAACCAAGAAAAGGCUGCAAAUUCAGCUUUUCAAUAUCUGCUUUUGAUCAAUCGAAAUGGCUUCACAAGUUUCUCAAAUGCCUUCUUCAUCACCCCUUUCUUCCAAUAAGGAUGAAAUCCGUCCCAAAGCCGAUUUUCAGCCUAGCAUUUGGGGAGAUUUCUUCCUCAAUUGUCCCGACAAGGUAUACAUACAUAUCACCAUAUUGAUAUAAUCUUAACAUAUUAUUUGUUCAAUUAUUUAGUGAUUCAAUAUGAAGAAAAUUUUCAUUGUUUUGAGCAGAAUAUUGAUGCUGGAACUGAAAAACGCCACCAACAAUUGAAAGAAGAAGUGAGGAAGAUGAUUGUGGCACCAAUGGCUAAUUCGACCCAAAAGUUAGCCUUCAUUGAUUCAGUCCAAAGACUGGGUGUGAGUUACCAUUUCACCAAGGAGAUCGAAGAUGAACUAGAGAAUAUCUACCAUAACAACAAUGAUGCCGAGAACGACCUCUACACUACAUCUCUUCGAUUCCGACUACUCCGAGAGCAUGGAUACAAUGUUUCAUGCGGUAAUUAUUGGAACAGAAACAUAGUGUUUUUAAGUUUCUUGAGAAUAUAAUAGCAUGGAAUGUUUGAUAACGAUAUUUCAUUUUGGGUAAUUUCAUGUCAGACGUAUUCAACAAGUUUAAAGACGAGCAAGGGAAUUUCAAGUCAUCCGUGACAAGCGAUGUUCGAGGAUUGUUGGAACUUUACCAAGCUUCCUAUUUGAGGGUUCAUGGGGAAGAUAUAUUGGAUGAAGCAAUUUCUUUCACCACCAACCAUUUAAGCCUUGCAGUAGCAUCUUUGGACCAUCCUUUGUCCGAAGAGGUUUCUCAUGCUUUGAAACAAUCAAUUCGAAGAGGCUUGCCAAGGGUUGAGGCAAGGCACUAUCUUUCAGUAUACCAAGAUAUUGAGUCCCAUAAUAAGGCUUUGUUGGAGUUUGCUAAGAUCGACUUCAACAUCUUACAAUUUUUGCAUAGGAAAGAGCUAAGCGAGAUUUGCAGGUAUGUUUUUUAAUCUCUUUCACCCAUUUUUUCUUUUUCAUCUUAUUUAUUUAUUUAUUUAUUAGUGGAAGGAGGGUUGAAUUUAUUGGAGACAUCAUUCUCAGUAUAGGAGACAAGUUGCAAAUGCUAAUAUUUGAAUCUUAUUAAAUAGUACAAGUUAAAAGUGAUGGCAUGAACCUUGGAUUCAUCUUUUUCACCUAUAUCAUUUUACUUAUAAAUAUUUUAAUAUUUGAGGUUGCCAAUUGACUUAAAUCUAACAACAUGAAUGUGAAACUAAUUGAAACAUUGAAUAUUAAUUGUGCUAAUGGGGUUUUUUAUGAUAUCAUUUUUUAGGUGGUGGAAAGAUUUAGACUUUCAAAGAAAGUUGCCAUAUGCAAGAGAUAGAGUGGUUGAAGGCUAUUUUUGGAUCUCAGGAGUGUACUUUGAGCCCCAAUAUUCACUUGGUAGAAAGAUGUUGACAAAAGUGAUAGCAAUGGCAUCUAUUGUAGAUGAUACAUAUGACUCAUAUGCAACAUAUGAAGAGCUCAUUCCAUAUACAAAUGCAAUUGAGAGGUUAGAUUUCUUUAAUUUUGUUGGUAAUAGGUUAGGUUUCUUUAGUUGAAGUUAACAUUCAAUAAUAUAUUACGAGGAAUGAUUAAAUAUAACGUUGAAGUUGGAUUCAGGUGGGAUAUCAAAUGCAUAGAUGAACUUCCUGAAUACAUGAAGCCGAGCUACAAGGCACUAUUAGAUGUUUAUGAAGAAAUGGAACAACUGGUGGCUGAGCAUGGGAGACAAUAUCGUGUUGAAUAUGCGAAAAAUGCGGUAUGUACAUCAACAAACAUUUAUUUUGUACAAAAGAGAUAAGAUCUUAGCUAAAUUCUAGAUUUGAAUAAACAACUAACUCGAAUAACAAUAUAUAAUCAUUUAAAUAUUAUUAUCGAAUUUGAAUUGAUAUUAGUGAUAAUUGUUGGGAUUUUUUCGCUUCAGAUGAUACGACUUGCUCAAUCUUAUCUUGUGGAGGCCAGAUGGACUCUUCAAAACUACAAACCAUCAUUCGAGGAGUUUAAGGCUAAUGCAUUGCCAACUUGUGGUUAUGCCAUGCUUGCUAUUACAUCUUUCGUCGGCAUGGGAGAUAUCGUAACACCAGAGACCUUUAAAUGGGCAGCCAAUGACCCUAAGAUAAUUCAAGCUUCCACAAUUAUUUGUAGGUUUAUGGAUGAUGUUGCGGAACACAAGGUAUAAUAAUAUAUUUAGAUAACCACAGGAAACCGAACUCUUAACUAAAUAAUUCAAUGUCUUUGUAACAAAAUCAAACGAUGGUUUUUAUCAUGAUCUAAAAAAAAAUAAAGUUUAAUGUUUAUAUAUAAAAUGUUUAGUCUCAAAUUGAAGAAUAAGAAAAGAAAUCUAGUUUCAUUUUAGGGCUUUUAGUGAGGAAGUAUUGUCAAUAAAUGUAUUUUAUCGUCACAAACAAAGGUAGUUUAAUAAACUGAUAGAUUUUAGGGUAUAUAGUGAUAGAAUAAUUUUGAUUUUAUUAUGGCUGCAGUUUAAGCAUAGGAGAGAAGACGAUUGCUCAGCAAUAGAGUGUUACAUGGAAGAAUAUGGCGUAUCAGCACAAGAGGCAUAUGAUGUAUUCAACAAGCAUGUUGAGAGUGCCUGGAAGGAUGUGAAUCAAGAGUUUCUGAAACCAACAGAAAUGCCAACAGAAGUUUUAAAUCGUAGCCUAAACCUUGCAAGGGUGAUGGAUGUACUUUACAGGGAAGGAGAUGGAUAUACAUAUGUUGGAAAAGCGGCUAAGGGUGGAAUCACUUCAUUGCUUAUUGAACCAAUUGCACUUUGAAAUUUAUAUUAAAUUUUCCUCUUCAAGCAUCUUCCUUAAGAAAUAGUUAUUAAGUUCUAAUUAAUAAUGUUGUAUAAUAUUCAUAUAUAUUAUCAAAGAAAGUCCGAAUCGAUUGUCUUUGUACUCAUUACCUUCUAUUAAUUCAAUAAAGUUCUUUUCAAGCUUUCCAUUAUGAAAAAUAUUCUUUUUUAUAUUUUAUAUUUACUUAUUUUUAUAUACUUUUUUAUAUAAAAGAAUAUGUGAUGUAAAAGUAGGACGAAUUAUAAAUAUUGGAAUUAAGAUAAUAAUAAAAAUCCACUAUCCCUUACCACUUUAAGUUUAUUGACAUAAACUUUGAACUCGUUAUUUAUUUAAUUUUGAUGAAGUUUGACAUAUAAAAUACAUUGAUUAAGUUUGACAUAUAAAAUACUCACUAUUAAUUGCGGCUUAAAAAUCAUCAAAUUUGUAGCCAAUCUUAAAGGAUUAGUAGUCAAUUUCAAAAUAAUUAUUUCUUAAAUGGAAUGAUCGGAAUGGAUUAAAUUGGUUGAUUGAUUAAUUUUUUUAUCAAGUUUAAUUAGGGAAAUAUUUUGUUUCAGAUAUUGGAGUGGAUGAUUUCCAUAAAAUAGAGACAUAGAUGUGAUUGAUCAGACUGACAGUACAUCGGACAAGAACCAAGUAGAAUAAAUUCUAGAUCCAUUUAUGGAUUUAUUCACUUAUGACAUUCAUAGUGUGAUAUACUUUAAUAUUGAAUGGAUAAUUGAAUGGAUAAGGGAGUAUGUAUAUGUGACUCGGAUGCUUUGAUGUAAAUGAAAACAGGUGUUCAAAUAGAUAAAUAAUCCAAAGUUGGUACAUUGGGUAUAUGACUUCUGCAUGAUGUAGGAUCAUUCCACAAUAGUGAAAUUCAUAGCCCAAUUAAGGGGAAAUGAUGAUAGAUGGAAAGUAAUGUGACCAUAGGUCAUUUGUCUUAGAGAUAAAUUAUUUAAUUAGUAAUUGACUUUUCAUGAAUGAAGAUGUUAUGGUUACCAUGACAUAAAACAGUAUCAUAAUGGGAGCACGGGUUUAUCUCAAAGAGAUUAAGGAUAUCCUAUGAGAGUAACAUACUUAUGACAAGGUAUUUGAAUGAACACUUAAUUAGUAGAUUUUAUAAUAGUAUAUAAUAAAGAAGUGUUCAAUCAUGGUACUUUAGUGGAAUGACUCUAUAAUUAAAUAAUAUUGUAAUUAAUAGAUGAAGAGUCGAAACUUAAUUACAAAUUAUUUGAGCCAUAAUUUUAUAUGUUCAAUUGGUCUCUCUGUUAGCUCAAGAUAAGUCAAAACAAAUUGCAUGCAAAACCAAUCAUAUGAAAUGAAUGAAAACAAUGAAAUAAGAUAAAUAGAUUGCAUGUAUACUAUCUGUAAUGAAUGCAUUUUCUCGCUAAUUACAAAAGAUGACUUAUAAAUUAAUUUAACUUCUUUAUAUUAUUAUUUAAUUAAUUGUAAUUAUUUAGAAUUAAUUUAAUUUGUCAACAUGGAUUUAUUGAAAGGGAUAAUUAAAUAUUUUUCCUCCUAGAUUCUAAUACGGUAAAGUUGUGUGACUUCAACAAAAUUAGAAUUGGGUUGAGAAAAGAAUUUAAUUGUGAAAUUAAUUUAACUAAUUAGUUAAUUAAAUUAAGUUAUUAAUUAAUAUUUUAAGAAAUAGAAAAUAAUUAUUGGGUUAGAUAAAUUAUAAAUAUUAGAUAAAAAUCUAGAUAACACAUAUAAUAGUACCUAAUACAUGAAAGACUCAAAUUAAGCCCGGUUUAAUAUAAGGAGUAACAAACCCUAAUACCCUAGGGGUGCCACUACCCACUCCUUAUUCUACUUCCAAGUAGAAUUUAUAUUUUUAUUAAAAUAUAUAUAAUUAAUUACACUUAAUUCGAACAAAACUCUUAUACCAUAUCUCUAUAAAUAACACAAUUUUGAGAGCACCAUUAUUUUGUCGAAAAAUAGUGACAAUUUUAUUUUAUAAUAAAUUUUAUUUUUUGAGAAAAAUUUAAUUUUUGGUUAUAGAGAGAAUUAAUUUUCCCUUUUGAAAGUUAAAAAAAGUUGUAACACCCCAAGAUUUGGGAAUUCCUAAAUUUGGACGCAUAGUUCAAAAGUAAUUUGUUCGUUCAAAAGUCCUAAGUUGUAACACAUGCAGAAUAAAUUAUUAUGAAGAAAGAAAGAUAUUAAUUUCAUUGAAAACUUUGAAUUAUAAAUAGACGCCUUUGGUGAAAUUUACUUAAUUCCCUUUCAAUAUUUCAUUUCAAUUCUAAUGUAUUAGAUUUUCUUUUAAGGCAUCUAUUGGAGCGAGCGUAGUAACUAAUUUUUCGUAUUCUGUAGGUUCAUUAAAGGAUAGAUGUUGACUCUAAAUUUUAAAGCCGCUUCAUAUUUAGGACCCAUAAAAAAAACAUUAUCAUCUCACUUAACUCUCGUAGUUAAUGUAUUAGAAUAUUUUAAAUGAUGAAUUUAAAUAUAAAUUUUUAGUAUCGACUAAAUCAUACAGCUACGGAGAUUACAAUUCAAAUUAAAAAAUAUGUUAAAUUAAAUAGUGAAAAAUACGUUAUUCAAAGAGUGAAGCUGUCUUGUUUGUAUGGUUAGAUUUUAUUAGAAUUUUUUUUAUAUAUUUCAUGCUUAUUUUAUGGUUUACGUUUAUCAGUUUUCGUUGUUUUUUUCAAUGAAUUUCGUAACUAUACAGUGAGAAUCCGUCACUAAAGUUGACUAAUUUGUCAUUUCCGAUGAUUCAAAUGACUUUUCAACACUCUAAGUCUAGAGUCAAUAUUUUAUUGCUUUUUUUUAGAUGGCUGAAAAUAUGAUUAAUGUGCCUUUCUUUUCUUCCUUAAAUUAUGUCAUUAUGUUAAUUAACUUCUUUUUUUCAUAUUAUUUCAAUAUAAUAUAUAUUAGAAUAAAUUUAAAAAAUCAAAAAUCAGUUUUGAGUAAUUAUUAUUAUUUGAAUAAUCUCAUUAUAGGUUCUGGUCAUAUUAUUUUUAACACAAUGGUUAAAACUAUCCAUAACCCCUCUCCAACGAUAAAUAAGACUCAAACGCACAUACUCCUGUAUUGACAACAAUAUCCAUGUUAAUCGAACUAAAAUUUAAUCGACAUAGCUAAUUUUUUUUUAAUAUACGAUAAAAGAUAAACCAAACUUUGAUCUUAUUAAUCCAAACUCAAACAUGAUUAUCUUGAUUUGAUAAUAGGAAAAAAUUUAAAUUAACCCAAAAUAACUUAAAUGGAAAACACCCAAACUUUAAAACUCUUGCAAGUAUUUGAUUGAAGAUUGUUAAUUAACAUUUAAAAAAAUUGUUUUACGUUCAUUACAUUAUUUUUAUUAAGCUAAAAAGUAAUUAAUGGUGUAUAUUUUAAUGUGAUCCAACACCAUAUGUUAAAAUUUAUUAGUAUUCAUUUUCAAGAUUUGGUUAUGAUAUUUAAUUUCGUUUAUCUUAUACUCUUGUUUUCUUUUCCCAAGGAAUAUUCAAUAAAUGUUGCCAAUGUAUAUCUCAAAAUAAUGACUAUGAUUUGAAAUAAAAUAAUGUUAGAUGCAUGUACCUUUCUCUUUGUUUCUCUAUUCGAUUUUUCUUAAUGAUAAUUAUAUCUACCAUUUGAGUAUUUAAUCAUUACUAGGGGACUGAAGGUAGAAAAAAUAUUUUCAUUAACGUUUAUGUAAGAAUUAAAUAAAAAAAUUUGAUUAAAAUUGUAAAGUGAAAUAUUUAAAAAUUAUAAUAUAAAUUUAUCGAUUCUAUAUAAAAAUAUGUGAAAAAGAUAAAAUCACCCUCUGACGAAUUUUUAAAACCAUACGAAGCCGCCACCAAUUUCUUUUAAAGAGUGGUUGACUGCAUAGAAAGUUUAAAAUCAUUAAAACAAAUUUUGAUGGGCGAAACUAAAUCUGAGUUUAAGAGCACGAUUAUGCGUCAGAAAGAAAGAUGUUAGCAUCCUCAUGACACCCAUUAUUAAAGGGAUACCAAAAUAAUCAUGAGUAUUUGUAGAUUGGAUUAAAAUAACUUUAAUUCUAAUAUUUAAAAACCAUUGCUCAUAAUAAAAAAUAAUUUUUAUUUAUAUAAAAUGAAUUUUUACUAGAUCCAAAAUGGUUGGUAUCCUUUGAGAUAAAUAGUAAGAAUACAAUAAUAAAUUAAGCUCUCAACGUUUAUAUUUUUGUCAAUUUGGCCUUUUUUUUUUCAAUUAAAUUUUGUCAUUAAACUUUUAAAAAGAGUUGAAUCGCUUUUCUUUACUAGAAAUGUUGAUUAAAACAUUAAGUUUUUAACAACGUUGGCAUGGCAAUCUAUGUGUACUUCACACAACAAUUAAUUUAAAAAUAUUCAAAAUUUAAAAUUUAAAAAAAGUUAAUAAAAACUCAAAAGAAAUUUGCAUGAAAUAUAUGUAAAUUGUCAUGUGAGGUAUCAUGUUUAAAACAUUUAAUGGUUAAAUUCAAUUGUUAUUGAAAGAUUAAUGGUUAAAUUUAACUUUUUUUUAUAAGAUUGAUGACAAAAAAAUAAAGGUUAAAUUGAUAAAAAAAAAAGAUAAACAUUAAAAACUAAAUUUACGAGUAUGCCUUUAGUCACAUUUGUGGGUGGUACAUAUACCCAAAACACUUUGUUGGGUACUUUACUAUUGAGGUUGUCCACGAUAACAUAUAACCCACAUGUGGUGUUUCCACUUUUGAAACCCAAAAGAUAUAUCCCAAGUGCAUGUUGCAUAGAAGACUCAAACACGCACACAUCCUAAUAACACAAACAAAUUUUGCAAUCUCUCACAUGAAAUAAACAAAAUUUGCAAUCUCACACUCUGAAGGACUCAAGAAUAGUGAGAUUCCAAGAGCAUGCAACCAUACACCUAAAACCAUGAAAUUAUUUACCUUCAAUUCGUGUUUAUUCGAAGUAAGAUUUCAUCGUAUGCAAACGAGAGAGGGUUACAAUACAAAGUAGAUCCUCUCUAUAUAUAUGCUCCCUUCUUGGUUCUUCUUCUACCUCACUUGUAAGCUUCCUGUCUUUCUCCUUUGAAUGCUUCACUGUUCUCUUCACCUCUCUCUUUUUUCUUAUUACCUUUUUCUUUCUCUUCCCUUGCAAAAUGAGGGAGGAGGUCAUGCCACCCUUAAAUGUUAAUAACAUUGACAAAUACCAUAAAAACCAAAAAAUAAAAAUAAAAAAGAAUCAAAAUUUAUAGUCAAAAUCAAAGUUAAGGUCAAAAAUUAAAAUCAACCGCCGAAACUUAGAGCAAUAUUAAACUUGGAUUUUUCAAAAUUAAACUUGAAAUAUGGUUACCUGCGGUAGUGACUUUAAAAUCGAGUUUUUCCCGAAUAAGAAUGAGUUACAAUACAUAUAAAUAAUAAUUUCUUAACUAUUUUUCUUUAAAUUUUAAAUUAAAUUAAUAUUUAAUUGAUUCGUGAUACCUAUUUAAAAUUUUAAUCUAAAGUAAAUAUAUCCAUCAAUAAAUGUCUUAAUAAUACUAUCACUAUCUAUAUUUUUAGUAAUUAAAAUUAAAUUUUCGAUAAUGAUCCAUUUAUAUACGUAUAAAUUUAAAGUAAUUUUACAGUUUUUUAUAUCUCUUAAUAUGAUUAAUAUUCUAAGUAUUUAAUCGUUAAAAUUAUUAUUUUAUUUAUAUAUUCUAACUAUUUGUUUUAGGUAAAAAAAAUUAACCAUUCAAUAAAUAUUAAUAUAUAUCUAUAGUAUUUUAGAUUGAUGUGAUGAAGAUAUAUAUUAGAUUAAUUCAAAAAUAUACAUGCAUGACAAGUAUAAUUAUAUCAAUAAAUCCGACGGUUAAAUUGUUACAAUAUUAAUCUUAAAAAGAGAUAUGAAAGAGUAAAUCACUGUAAAUAGAUCUCCCAAAAUAAUUUGUAGUUAAUGUCCCAAAUUUCCAUAUAUAUAUAUAUAUAUAUAUAUAUAUAUAUAUAUAUACACGAUAAUGUGACCACUAGAUAGACUAUUUUGGACAUUAAAUGACGUACCAAAAAAGGAAAGAAAAAAAUAAUUCAAAAACGACACACUCUCCAUUGAUAUUUUCAUUUUAAGGUUGUAUUCUUUUGACUUAAAAAGAUAAUUAAAAUUAAAAAAAAAAUACAAUAAUUUUAUCGUGUUAUUGAUAAAUAUAAUAUUUUAGGAAAAUAUGGAAUAUUUUACUUUUGAAUUUCAUAUGGAUAAUAAAUGUGUAUAUAUAUGAACUCUUCAAGGAUAAUUUAAUUAUUAUUUAAUAAGAAGAUUUGGUAACUAACGUAUUGUUUUGACUAAAAGGACGUUUAGUAUGAUGGAAAGUUAUCAUUUUUUAUGACAUAUAAUUGGUUAAAAUGUGAUUCAAAUUUAAUUUCCUUGGAAUGUAACAUUCUCUUUGGAGAUACUUUCCUUAGGUAAUGGAAAGUGAUUCCCUUGAUAAUUGGUAAGAAAGUUACUUUCUCAUAUAGAUCGAAAGUAAAAAGAAUUUAUUAAGACAAAAUUAUAAUUUUUUUUUCUAUUUGUGUUUACGAUUAAAAUUUAAAUUGAAUGUAUUUUUUAAUAUAAAAUUUUUAAAUUAUAGUUUUUCGAUGAUAUGAAAUUUUAGUAUCAAGAAAAGUGCUCAAACGAAAUUUAUUUUCGAGUUUAAAAGAAAUAUUUCAUUUCUUAAUGCACAAAUACUUGCUAGCUUUUUUAUACAACAAUAUUGAUCCAUAUCUUCUACAUCUUUGGAGAAAAAAGGGAGGUGCAAGAAGGAGAAAAUAAGGCGGCGAGCAUAAUGGUAAAACCAGGGAAGAAAAGAGGAUAAUGUCAUGUGCUUACUGUCUCUAGUGCUUGAAACCAUUUUGAGCUAUUUUUUUCUUUGAAUCCAAACCUUCCUAAGCCUUAGAAUGUUACAAGCCGAGAAGACCUAUGUGACCUAAGCAUUUCCUUUACAUGAUCUUCUUGACUUGUUUAUAGUUAGCUUAUUGAAAGCUUUGGAUUUGCAUGUUGUGUCUACUAUAUAUCUAUAUAAGUUAUAUUGAUGGAUAACAUAAUUGAGUAUUUACUCAUUUGAAUCGCCAAGGUUUAUUAGUUUUUUAACUUAGUUAACUAGGUAGAUUUGCUUUAGGAGUACUUAAGUUAGCUAAAAAUCAAUCUUAAAUUGCAUGUGAAAUACGUCUUGUAUAAAUUCAAUAUUCGAUUGUCAUGCUUCUUAUUGUUCACCAUAUUCCAAGGGUCAUCUUAUGCAUGUUUUGUGUGUUUGCUUGUGGACAAACAACAACUUAAGUAUGGAGGAGUUUGAUCUAUCGUAUUUAUGUGUUAAAUUAAGCUAUUUAUUCUUGAGUAUUUUAUAUCGUCUGUUAUUACUUUCCCACAAUUAUUAGAUUUAAUACUUAACAUUAGUUUUUAUUUCGUUUUUAUGUUUUCGGAAUAAAAUGACAAGUUUAUGACAUUAGUAACUUAAUCUUUGAGUUAAGCUUGGUACAGUUACUUGGUUGAUGUGAAAAUGAGAAGAGGAGCCUAAACUAGAGCAAAGGUUGCGACACCAAUGCUUCCAACAUCAUCCGAGGAGUGAGACUUCAAUAAAUUGCACAUUUGUGGAGAUUACUUCCAUUGUUGCGACACCAAGGAGUUGAUGUCGCAACACCAACCUUGGUGGUUUUAACACUGGGCUAGCAAUGUCGCAACAUCGAUCAUAGCCUCUAAAGUUGAAGAACUCAAGUUGCCUGAAGACAAUGUCAUGACACCAAAGGCCAUUGUUGCAACACUAAAAUACCCAAUAACCCAAAUGUGUAGACUAUCAUAGGUGUCGUGACAUCGACCCUUGACGAGGCAAAAUAGUUGAGGGUAUUUUAUUGUCCAACAACCUUCAAAUUAGAUUUUUAAGGGGGGCAUAAUUAUCAUUUUUAGGUUAAGUUAGAAAAGACUAUAAAAACUACUUUAUAAGUCUUUUUGUAGUAGAGUUGUAGGGUAGAACAUAUUUCUACUUUUCAUCUUUUUAGAUUAUAUUUAUUUUUCUUUUCUUUUCUUUCAUUUUCUUUAGAAUAAUUUUAGCUAUAGAUUUUCUUCUCUUUUAUCGAGAACUCUGUAAAUGGAGAUGAUCAAGCUUGUGGGCUUCAUCGUAUUUUAAUCUAUUAAUGAGCAUUUUCUCAUAUCCUUAUCUUUUAUAUUUUAUUUCUACCAUGUGUUUAAUAAAAUGCUUGUGUAGGAUUUAAGUUUUAUUAUAUGCUAAAUUGGUUGAUGGUUAGUUGAUGAAAGUGGUCCUUUCUUGGUCUUCCUAAGCCAUCAAGAUGUGAUUAUGCCCAGAAAAAGGUGUCAACCAUUUUUUCUUUGACGAGGAGAGGGAAGCUAUCUUUUGGGCAAGCUUUAUUGAGGUUGGUGAAAUCCAUACACAUCCUUCACUUGCCAUUAGACUUCAACACCAUGACUAUAACACCUCACACCCGACUCGAUUGUUGGAUCCAAAUGCGUGAUGUCACAUUACGUUACCGAAACAACUCAAACUAUCUCAUUUUAUAAUAAUAAAAUUUAAAUCAUAAUUAUCAUAUAAACUGAUUUAAUCAUCAAACAUACUCACACAUAUGCAUUCAUAGUGUUUAGGAUUCAAUUCAUCAUGUUAUGGGGUUAUGCAAGGUUAAAUUUAGAGUUAGGACUCAAAUCCAAACUCAACUAUCAAAUUUCAAUGUUAUGUCUCGAGAUAGAGGACUUCUUGUUUUCAAGAUAGUCCUCAUUUUAUUUUAGGUAUUUUUUCUUCGAUGCCAACAUGUCUCGAGACACUGGAGGUAGUGUCUUAAGGGAAGGUUCUUUGCGUCUCGAGGCCAACCUCCCCUGUUUCAUUAAUUUAGCUUCGAUGUUUAAAUGUCUAGGGACAAGGGUUCUUGUCUCGAGACUUGAAACAGAGCAAAUCUAAUUUAGCUUCAAAGUUUACUUGUCUCAAGACAAUGACCCCUUGUCUCGAUGCUUGAAUAGGAUUGUCUCGAGACUAGCUUGCCAAAUCUUGAGACACUAAACAUAUAAGUUAAAUUAUAAGGUAAAUUUUGUUCUUAUGGUCUCGCGACAUGUUCCUACUAUCUUGCGACUCAAUGGUAAAAUAGCUUUAAAUGCACAUUGUCAUGUGUCCAAACCAUACCAAAUGGCACAUUAAAUAUACCAAAAUUUUACAUCAAAUUAAGGCCAUAAAUUAAACACAUAUAAACACAAUUAAACAUCAUCAAAUCAUAACCAUCAAUGUAACAUCUUUUAAACAACUAAUUUACAUAAUCAAACUGAUAUAAACUAGAAUAAUUAACUACUAAUUAAAUAUUAAAAUUCAUCUUAUAAAACCUUAUAGGCCAAAUACAAAAUAUACCAAAAUUAAAACUUAAGCAACAUGCCUAAAACAACCUAGGUACAUGCCAUUUCAACUCAAACACACACACACACACAAAAGAGGUAAUAAGGCAUGUUCUGAGUUGAGUUGUUGAGUUGGAUGCUGGGCAUUAUAAUCUACAUCUACUAACGUUCAAUACUUGCACAUAAAAACAAACAUAACCAUACGUUGAGUAUCGAAUACUUAGUGGUGCUUGUUGAAACCUUCUUUUUUUUUUUUGAAAAUGACUUUUAUUUAAAAAAAAUAAAAAUGGAGUCGCCACUGAUCCUUUUUAUUAGGUGUAAUUGGGCCACCUCAAAUUUUAACCAUCUUAAUAAAAUAUUAGAUUUUUCUAAAAUGAUAAUUUUUAGCCUACGAAAUCCAAGAAUGUGGGUUCGAGAGUCGGUUAUGUAUGAGGAAGGAUUAGCACCCUCAUAAUGUCCAAAAUUGGUACCUAGUUGGUUACUUAAUAUUGUGAUGUCGAGAAUUGAAAAUUCGAAGCAAAUUUAAAAUACGAUCCCUCUUUGUAUGAUAUUAAAAUAUCGCUUAACUAAAUUAAUUUUCACAAAAAGGCCUUCUUUCAAGUUAAUCGAGAAGAAAAGAUCGUGCCCUGUAAGUUAGGACACGAUGCCUUAAAUCCUCGAAAACAAGAAUAAUCGUCAUUUGAUCAUUACUUAAAUCUCGUUUAUUUUUUAUUUUUAAAAUAGAUAUUCAACUAUUUGGGUUUUAGAAAGAGGCCAUACUCCAUAAGUUAGGAGCACGACUCCUCUAAUUCAAAAAUAAUGAACACUGCCUUGGUUUUCCUUUAAAAUAUUUCCUAUUCAUAUGGUAAAACGAAUGCAACCUUUUAACAAUUGCUUUUUAAUUUAUCUAGGCCUAGUAGUAAAAUGGAUGAAUAUGUUUAACGCGAUACACGGCAUGGAUGUUAGCAAAAUAAAGUAACAUAGUAACGGGUAAAAAUGAAAUGAUGAUAUUAAAAUGAUAAGUAAAUAAAUGAACAAAUCAAUAAAUCAAUAAAAUAAAAAAAUGAUAGGUAAUAAUAAUACAACUAUAAUGAUAGUAAAAAAAACAAUUUAUAGUAAUAAUAACGAUAAUCAUAUUAUAAUUACUAUAAUAAUAAUAAUAAGGGCGAAAAAUGCACAAUAAAAAGGAAAUAUAAGUAACAUGAAUUUUAAUUAUAAAAAGGGUAAAGAAAUAAUAAAUAAAUAUAUAAAAACAAUUCAUAAAAGGUUAAAAUUAAAUAAACCAAGGACUGAAUCGGAACUAAAAUGAAAUUAAAAGCAUAAAUUGUAAUAAAAUAAACAAACAAGUAAAUAAAGGACUAAAAUAAGAAAUGUGAAAAUAAACAAGGCUCAAAUUGGUAAUUAUUCCAAACCCCAGGACACAAGUCAUUCCCCGGCAAAUGAAGGACUAAAUUGAAAACAAGUUAAAAUUAAAUGGUGUAAUCUAAAAAGAAAAAAAUUGAGAUUAGGACCAUAUCAAAAAGAAGGUUCAAAAGUGGAAGGACCAGGACCGCAAAUAGACCACUCUACGAAAACACAUGGAUCCCAAGGGAUCCGGAUCGGGUUGGCGGGCCAAGCUUCAAAACGAAACCGUUUCGGGACUUUUGAACACCGGCCAAAACGGUGUUGUUUAGUCUUGCUUAUAUAAAUCAAAAUUUUUUUAAAUCUGCUUAGGUUUUUAAAAAAAAUUUUGAAACCCUUUCUUUUUCUCUCAGCCUUUCUUUAGGUCCGGCCUUUGGCCCGCCGAUGCUCUGCCAUGGCCACCGAUCAUCGGCGACAACAACCGUCCCCUCCGAUGGCCGGAGUCCAAAAAAACCCAUUUUCAGCCCUUUUCAACCCUAAAACCCGGAUCUAAAGGCAAAUGCCUUUAAAAAAACAAAAAAAAUGAAAAAGAUUUCGGAUUUCCCCCUUUCUGGUCGCGCCCUUUUGUAUCCCCUUUUAUUGAAGCCCAGACGAAACCUAAUGGGUUCGACGACUCUCAAGAUCGAGGGAGACCCCCGACGGCGGCGCGAGACGAAGCCAGGGAAAAGGUUUUAUAUUUAUUUAUUGUUUUUGAAUCUAAAGAAACAAAGUAAAUCACCUUUUUUUUGCUUAAUGUUUGUAUCCGAUUUUUAUUUCAAUCUUCUCAGGCGGUGAGCACGCUGACGUGGUGAGGCGCGGUGCAAAAGGGGAUCUAGGGUUUUUAGCUUUCUGAAAAUAGUUUAGGUUAUGGGCUAUUUGGCUUUAGGUUAUUGGGUAUUAGGUUUAGCAUAUGGGUUGGGCUAUUGGGCUCUUUUUGUUUGGGCCAAUCUAGUUUGUAAAUGGACUUAGACUUUUAUUUUUCAUUUUUAUUUUGUUUAUUUAUUUUUGGUUUCUAUUUGGGUCAGAAAAAAUUGGGCCCUUACAAUGCUAAUAUAAUUCAAAUUCAAAUAUAUAUUGUGUUAAGAAUAAACUAAAGUAAGUAUAUAUAACAAGUAUCAAUUACGUAAAUGAAUACUACUUUAACUUAUCAUAUCAUUUUCCAACUUUCAUAUUCAUUUCACAUUUCAAUAUAAAUUUCAAUGCUUAUUCAUUUUUCCCCUAUUAUCCAAUGAUAGAUAUUAGAAUGGAUACUUAAAUCUGUAUAUAUCAAGUAACUCCACAACCCUUUUGGAAACUAGGACUAUUUUAUUCUGUCAUCCCGGGUUGCUCGACAACGAUGAUUUUCAAUAUUUUUCCCACUAUUUAUUCAACCAUUCUGGAUUUCCCGACAACGAUGGCUACUAAAUCACUAUAUUGAUGACCCUAUGGCAUUCCAACUAUACCCGAACUACGUCUAACAUCGUUUAAUGGGGCAUUAACAUCAUAUUCACUGCUCUAACAUAUAUCAUUAUAAUACCAAUGUCCAAAUAUUCAUAGUCACAUCCAAAGCAAUUUCAAAUAUUUAUCACAUAAUUCAAAUAUCACCAAUCAAAUCCAUUAUUCAAAGUUGAUAGGGAAAGAUGCCAUUAAGUCAUAUUGAUUACAACGACUAAUUAAUCUACGAAAGUAAAUUGGAAUUGAAUUACAAAAGCACAAACCACAAUAGUUAUUUGUGUUCACUUUUUCUUUCCCCUUCACCUUGGACAUUCCAACAUCGUCUUUCACUACGAUCGAUAAUACAGUAUAAUCAUACAUAUCUUAUUUACCAAAAUUUUAUCGACUUAACAAGAAUAUAUAUUAUUUUUAUUAUAUAUUUAUAUAUAAUGUUGAGUAUGCCUCAUAUUUUAGUCAAAUUUGAGAGAUAAUCUCACAGUUAAACUCUGUUUAUUUGUUUCAGUCAAACUCUGACUAGUCUAUAUUAUUUUAUUAUUAUUUGACCUUCAAAUUUAGCCUAUAAUAGGCUCUUUUACAACCUUAAAAAAAAUACACUCAUUAAAUAUUAGAUCUCAUAACACUUUUGAAGAAUUUUGUGUUUACGUUUUGAGGGUUCUUUGUUUUCGAGUUUCGAGGUUUAGUUUUUUAUCUCCAUCUUUUGUACUCUUCAUUCUUUUGUCAUUAUAGUAAAAUCAUCUUUGCUCGUGGUUUUUUUAUCCUCUUUGAAGGGGUUUUUCCACAUUAAAUUUGUGUGUACAAUUUCUCAAUUUCUUCUGCUAUUUUUACUUGUUCAUUGCUUAAUCGGGUUAAUUCCUAACAAGUGGUAUCAGAGUUAGUUCGAUUUUCAUAGAUCAACUCAUUCAGAUAUGGCAGCAACAAAAUUUGACAUUGAGAAGUUCGAUGGUGUCACAAAUUUCAAUUUGUGGAAAGUUCGGAUGAUGGCAAUUCUAGUUCAAACUGACCUGAAAAAGGUUGUUACUGGGAAAAAGCCUGAGAAUCUAGAUCAGACAGAGCGAGAAGAGCUUGAUGAAAAGGCCCCUGUCUACAAUUUAGUUGUGCCUCGCGAAUAAGGUAUUACAGGAGGUAUUGAUGGAGAAAAACCUCAUCCGCCUUGUGGAAAAGGUUAGAAACUCUAUAUGCGACUAAGUGUCUAGAUAACCAUUUAGUAUUGAAACAACGUAUUUUUACGUUUCGCAUGAACGAAGGUGAGCUUCAUAGAGAUCAGACUAGUCAAUUUAUUACUCUUUUGAAUGAUUUAAAAAUGUUGAGGUUAAGAUUAACGACGAAGAUCAGGCUAUGUUAUUAUUGUGCCUUUUACCCCCUUCAUACAAGUCUUUCAGGGAAAUCCUAAUUUAUGGUAGAGACAAACUCUCGUUUGAGGAUAUGAAGGGUCAUUUGUUGAGUAAUGACAAACUCGAAAAUGAUUUUGGUUCGAAUAGCAAGGCAGAUAGGCAAGCUUCCAUUUUGGUAGCAUCAAAGAAGUGAGACAGAAUGUGUCGCUAUUGUAAAAAGUUAGGUCACAUCAAAGCAGAUUGUUAUAAACUGCGAAAUAAAAGGGAUGCUGAGAGUAACGAGGAAGAUGUAGCUACUGCUAAUUUAGAUGACGAAACCAGUGAUGAUUUCUUGUUAGUGUCAAUAAGCGAAAGCUCCGAGCUUGCGUCUGAGUGGAUCCUAGAUUCGGGAUGCUCUUUCCACAUGUGUACAAACAGAAAAUGGUUCUCCACAUACAGUUUGCUUGAAGGUGGAGUUGUACGCAUGGAAAAUGAUUCAUCCAUUAAGGUAAUCGGUAUUGGUACUAUUAAAAUUAGGAUGCACGAUGGGACAAUUAGGACAUUCUUAGAUAUCAGGUAUGUACCUGAUUUACAAAAGAAUCUCAUCUCCUUGAGUAUUUUAGACUGGAGAGGUUAGAGAAUCAACAUUGAGUCGAGCGACAUUAAGGUGUCUCGUACGGCUCUCGUUUAGUUAAAAGGUAAAAGAACCGACAAUCUUUAUAUUAUGACAGGUUCUAUAGUGAUUGGUGAAAUCAGACAUCCCUCAUCUAUUACGAAGUCGAAGUCAACUCAUUUAGAGUGGAGGCAACUUGGUCAUAAGAGGGAAAAAUGUAUGAUCAUUUCGUUGAAGAAAGGCUCUCUUUUGGAUGCAGGUUUUGAAAAGUUAGGGCAUUGUGUUCGUGAAAAUCAGACCCGUGUUAGUUUUGGUUUGACAGUGCACAAUUCGAAGGCUAGAAGUCUUCUAGCUUCUAAGCAUAUAUUCGACUUAGUUAAUUCCCUGCAUAGUUCAAGAUAGUCCCAUGGCAGGCUUUGGCAAAGAUGGAGUUGUGGAAAUACGAGUCAAGGUGGAGAUUUGUUGAGUAUGCCUCAUAUUUUAGUUAAAUUUAAAAGAUAAUCUCUCAAUUAAACUCUGUUUAUUUGUUUCAGUCGAACUCUAAUUAUUUUAGAUUAUUUUAUUAUUAUUUGACCUCAAAUUUAGCCUAUAAAUAGGCUAUUUUACAACCUUAGAAAAUACACCCAUUAAAUAUUAUAACUCAUAACACUUUUGGAGAAUUUUGUGUUUACGUUUUGAGGGUUCUUUGUUUUUGGGUUUUGAGUUUUAGCUUUUUAUCUCCAUCUUUUAUACUCUUCGUUCUUUUGUCAUCAUAGUAAAAUUAUCUUUGCCCGUGAUUUUUUAUCCUCUUUGGAGGGGUUUUUCCAAAUUAAAUUUGUGAGUUCAAUUUCUCAUUUUCUUCCGCUAUUUUUAUUUGUUCAUUGUUUAAUCGGGUCGAUUCUCAACAUAUAAUAUUUUAUACUUAAGAUUUUAAGAACAUAUCCUAUUUUAGGUGUAAUAGUAUAACAAAAGAACAUAUGAUAGUGGUAGUAUUUGAACUUGUGGGAUUAAAAUAUUGUACUUUUAAUUUAUCGAAAUAACCUCUUGUAUAUUAUCUUAACCAAUAAGUGAUUUUGAGAUUUCAAGUUUCUUUUUUGAAUUAUAAGAGGAGGGUAAAGUCUUAAUAGUGAGACGACUAGCAUGAUUCAAACUCAAGACACACCUGAGACGAUAAACACUCUGACCAUUAGGCUAAUAUAGAAAUUUUAGUCUAUAUUAUCCUUUCUUUUGUAAUUUUCAUUUACCUUAAAAUAAUAACUGUUUUUCAUAGUUUUUAAAUUCAUCAAUUUAAAAAUAAUUCUAAAACCCUAAAGAAAGUUGGUCGAAUAAGUAAUAAAUUUAUUUAUUUUAAAAUGCUAACAAGUAAACAAAUACAUUUGAUUACUAAGGAUUAAAAGAAACAUGAUAAACAUUUUUUAUUAAGUAAAAUUUUAAAAUAUUAUACCAAAAAAAAUUAGUAUUUCAAAUACUAUAGAGUCGUAUUAUUCUUGCUUUCCACUAAUAUUUCCUAAGAAACUAGUAUCAGUAAUGAAAAUAUUGCCCAUAAAGACUGCUGGUGGACUGAGGACUUAAAUUCAAUCAAGAGCAUGUCAAAAGGAAAAGAAAAGAGUAAAUAUCACACAUGCCCUCAAAACAUUUGACAUCAAUUAUUUUGAUAUUUACAUUUCGAUUGGUGAAGAAAAAUCGAACUACAUUAACUGGUUAAAUUAAGAAUUGAUAUUGAAUGAUAAAAAAAAUCAGCACAAAAUUUAAUUAGAAAAACCAAUUUUUGAUAUUGAGUUUUUUUAUAUUAAAAUUAUUUUUCUGCAAGUGAUCAGAUUAGAAGUUUAAACUUAAUAGCCUUUUAUAUAUAUUAAAUAUGAUAACAUUAAAUCAAGUACAUGAAGAACAUAUAUAAGCAAAAAUCUGUCUAUUGAAUUAUGUCAUGAACAAAAAUCAAGAGCAUGCUAUGUAUACAUAUAGGGGCUUCAACACAUCAUCUUGCUUUCCCACAUUCACGCAUAUCUAUAUAAACAAGUACAGGGACCUUUAUUCAAUACUUAAAGUCUGCAGCCAUGCUAGACCGACUGGAAGGAACAAAACAAAUUUAACUAAUAAAUUACUACUUUUUAAACAUAUUUAAUAUCAAAAUUAUAUUUAAGAUUUAAUUUAUAUUUUAAUUAAAUAAUUCCGUUUGACCAAUCCAACCGAUAGAAUAAUUAAAUAACUUAAAAUUCACAUCGAUUUGUUACAGAUGGGGCCCUGGGAAGGACCAAAAAGAUAUUUGUCUGAAAGUUUAAAGAUAAAUAGAGGAUAUUUACUUUGUAACACACAUUUAAACAUUUAUCUACUAAUUUUUUAAAGACAUCAACUUUGAAUGAAAAGAAUCAAACAAAAGACAAACCAAUAUUGCUUUUAAUCUAUUUGCAAAUCUCAUUCAAUGGGCCCUACAUGCAUUUUGUUCUAUAAUUGGUUUCAUGCAUUUAUGUGGUCUUUUUUUGACUUAAAAUCACCAGUAUUUUGUUUUUACCUAUAAAUACAUGCAACGAUUGCAUUCUUAUCCUCACUCAAAUUCUGUGCCAAAUUUGAAGAGCAAACCAAAAAAAAAGCGGCAAAUUAAGCUUUCGAAUAUUUGCUUUUGUUCAAUCCAAAUGGCUUCACAAGUUUCUCAAUUGCCUUCUUCAUCACCCCUUACUUCCAAUAAGGAUGAAAUGCGCCCCAAAGCUGAUUUUCAGCCUAGCAUUUGGGGAGAUCUCUUCCUCACUUGUCCUAAAAAGGUAUACUAAUAUAUGAGCAUAUUGACAUAUAAUGUUAACAUAUUAUUUGUUUAAUUAUUUAGUGUUUCAGUAUGAAUAAAAUUUGCAUUAUUUUGAGCAGGAUAUCAAUGCAGAAACUGAACAACGCCACCAACAAUUGAAAGAAGAAGUGAGGAAGAUGGUUGUGGCACCGAUGAAUAAUUCAACCCAAAAGUUAAACUUCAUUGAUUCAGUACAAAGACUGGGUGUGAGUUACCAUUUCACAAAAGAGAUCGAGGAUGAACUAGAGAACAUCUACCAUAACAACAACGAUGCCGAGAACGACAUCUACACUACAUCUCUUCGAUUCCGAUUACUCCGAGAGCAUGGAUUCAAUGUUUCGUGUGGUAAUUAUUGGAACAACAUAGUGCUUUUAAGUUUUAUGACUAUAUAAUAGCAUGGAAUGUUUGAAAACGAUAUUUUGUUUCGGGUGAUUUGAUCGCAGAUGUAUUCACCAAGUUUAAAGAUGAGCAAGGGAACUUUAAGUCAUCUAUGACAAGCGAUGUUCCAGGAUUGUUGGAACUUUAUGAAGCUUCCUAUUUAAGGGUUCAUGGGGAAGAUAUAUUGGAUGAAGCAAUUUCUUUCACCACCAACCAUUUAAGGCUUGUAGUAGCAUCUUUGGAUUAUCCUUUAUCCGAACAGGUUUCUCAUGCUUUGAAACAAUCAAUCCGAAGAGGCUUGCCAAGGGUUGAGGCGAGGCACUAUCUUUCAGUAUACCAUGAUAUUGAAUCCCAUAAUAAGGCUUUGCUGGAGUUUGCAAAGAUUGAUUUCAACAUGUUACAACUUUUGCAUAGGAAAGAGCUAAGUGAGAUUUGUAGGUAUGUGUUUUUGAAUAUUUUUCAUCCAUUUCUUCUUUUUUCACCUUUUUUUUUUCAAUUUAUAGGAGGCUUCAUCCUCAGUAUAAGGGACGGGUUGCAAAUACUAAUAUUCAAAUCUUAAACGUAUUAAAUUACAUUAGUUAAAAGUGAAGACAUGAACUUUGGACUCAUCUUUUUCACCUAUUUCAUUUAACGUAUGAAGAUAUAUAUAUAUAUAUAUAUAUAUAUAUAUAUAUACAAACUUGAGAUUUCCAAUAGAAUUAAGAAUCUAACAAUUUACUCUUCAACAACAUGAAUGUGAAACUAAUAAAAACUUUGAAGAUUCAUUGUGCUAAUGAGGUUUUUUAUGAUAUAUUUUUUAGGUGGUGGAAGGAUUUAGACUUUCAAAAAAAGUUGCCAUAUGCAAGAGAUAGAGUGGUUGAAGGUUAUUUUUGGAUCUCAGGAGUAUACUUUGAGCCCCAAUAUUCACUUGGUAGAAAGAUGUUGACAAAAGUGAUAGCAAUGGCAUCUAUUGUAGAUGAUACAUAUGACUCAUAUGCAACAUAUGAUGAGCUCAUUCCCUAUACAAAUGCAAUUGAGAGGUUAGAUUUCUUUAGUUAGAGAUUAACAUUCAGUUAUAUAUUACGAGGAAUGAUUGAAUAUAACGUUGAAGUUGGAUUCAGGUGGGAUAUCAAAUGCAUAGACCAACUUCCAGAAUACAUGAAACCGAGCUACAAAGCACUAUUAGAUGUUUAUGAAGAAAUGGAACAACUGAUGGCUAAGCACGGAAGACAAUAUUGUGUCGAAUAUGCGAAAAAUGCGGUAUAUACAUCAAGAAAUAUUUAUUUUAUACAAAAGAGAUAAGACCUUAGCUAAAUUUUAUAUUUGAAUAAACAAUUAACUUAAAUAACAUUAAAAUCAUUUAAAUAUUAUUAUCGAAUUUGACUUGAUAUUAGUGAUAAUUGUUGGGAUUUUGUUGCCUCAGAUGAUACGACUUGCUCAAUCUUACCUUGUGGAGGCCAGAUGGACUCUUCAAAACUACAAACCAUCAUUUGAGGAGUUUAAGGCUAAUGCUUUGCCAACUUGUGGUUAUGCCAUGCUUGCUAUAACAUCUUUUGUCGGGAUGGGAGAUAUCGUAACACCAGAGACCUUUAAAUGGGCUGCCAAUGACCCUAAGAUCAUUCAAGCUUCCACAAUUAUUUGUAGGUUUAUGGAUGAUGUUGCUGAACACAAGGUAUAAUAAUAUAUUUAUAUAAUCACAAGAAACUAAGCUCUUAACUCAAUAAUUGAAUGUCUCUGUAACGAAAUCAAAAAUGGUUUUUUAUCAUGAUCUAAAACCAUUAAAGUUUAAUAUUUAUAUAUAAAUGUUUAGUCUUAAAUUGAAGAAUAAGAAAAAAAAAAAGAGUUUCAUUUUAGGGUUACUAGGGAGGAAAUGUUGUCAAAAGGUAAUUUAUCAUCACUAAACAAAUGUAGUUUAAUAAACUGAUAGAUUUUAGUGUAUAUAGUGAUAGAAUAAUUUUGAUUUUAUUACGGCUGC
rnacentral:lncRNA from 1 species